GAUGCAGAGCAAUGACAGAGGUGGUAAUAAAUGACAAAGAUGGAGUUGAAAAAGAAGAGAUUGUUUUCCGCAAAUUGAAGGCGUUGGAACUGUGUGAUUUAGAUAGCCUCACAAGUUUCUGCUCUGCCAAUUACACCUUCAAAUUCCCAUCUUUGCAAGAUUUGUGGGUGAUUGGUUGUCCCAAGAUGAAGAUUUUCACUACAGGAGAAUCAAUCACGCCUCUAAGAGUAAACGUCUGCUAUGGAGAGACAGCGGAUCAACGGCGCUGGGAUAAUAAUGAUCUAAACACAACCAUACAACAAUUACAUGCUGAGAAGGUACGGAUAUACAUAUUACUCUCUAUCUCCCAUGAUAAAUUUUUACAAAAUUUGCUUUUUUUAAAUAAAAUAUCGAUAAGAUAUUUGUUUUAAAAUUAGUUUAAAUUGAUGGAUAAGAAUUUUAUUCUCAGCUGUUGGACGGGUCGUCGAUAUACUCUACGCAAUACCACUAAUUUCAUUGGCUUCUUAUGUCUUGGAGUUGCGAAUUUGAAGAAGAAAGUCCCAGCUGGUAAUUAAUUCUUAUUUUAUUUAUUUGAUCUCGUGGGUUGUUUCACAAUUUCAUCUCAAUUAUUUAGAAUGGGUCGCUUGGUUUUCAUGUUUCGUUCAGGCUUUUGUGGGCAGAUUUUGCGUCAUUGAUUGUCUUUUGGUCUAAUUUAAUUUAAUUUGAGUAUUUUGUUUGAGAAUUCGCUUGUUCUCUAAAAUUUUAUAAUUCCUUGCAAGCAUUUUAUGAUGAAAUUUCAUUAAAAGGGGCAACACUUGCAUGUUGAAUGUCUUCAGAUAUUAUAAUUCCUUGAAAUCAUGCGAACUUUUUUCUUUCUUUCUUUGCCAAUCAUUUAUUGUCAUCAUUGCCUUUCCGUUAUAUUUGUUUCUGCUCUGUUUGUUCUUUGGAAACUUGGAAGGCAACGAAAGUACUUAAGAAAAUGCUCUUGCCUAUGAACACAUAAUUAAGAAGCUGAAUAUCAUUCAGCGGGUAAAAUAUAUAUAUAUAUAUAUAAUUAGCCCAUUAUGCCUACAACAAAUCCUUACACCAUCAAAGGUUAGCUAUGAACAACUAUAUUGUGGAAAUAUUGUUUGAAAGCAUUGGAUAGAAUUUUCAAAAAUAUCAAGUUUUCACAAACCAAAAAGGGAACUAAUUUGGUCUAGUUUUGUGAAAGUAUAGAAGCACAAAUUUUGUCUGUUAUUCUUGUUAAAAUUCUCAGCACUAUGUUUGCAGAAUGUCUGGAUACUGAUGGAGAUUCAAGUCACUCUUCUUCUGUGCAACAUUUGAAAUGAAGCCUUUUUUUCCCCCUUUAUUCAAAUUUUAUGUUGUGAGGGGUUCCGUUUCCAUCUUCAUGUGAUUUACUUCAUCGUGUCGCUACAUAUAUGAUAGUGUGUGUUAUUUCCUGUCUGUUUCCUUUAUUUGACCAUCGGAAGUUCAAAGACAUUUUAUUCUAAAUGUGUGUAAAUUCAUUUUCUGUAUAAGCUCUUUGUAUGCAUUUUGACAUUUUAUUCUCAAUAUAUGUGACUCAAUGAGAGGUCUAUUGUUAUAUAUACGUCACGAAAUUCUUGUGUAUUUUUAGAUUUGAUGAUGUAUUAUUGCCUCAUUGCAAGGUCUUAUAAUCACUCUGAUUCUUAUUUCUUGUAUAUAUAUGUAUAUAUGCGCAAGAAAUUUGAUAAAUGAUCUCGUCAUUUUCUCAGUUAAACAUCUAGUACUUUAUAUGUUGGAAGGGUACUAAGCAGCAGGCCAAGAUUUAUCAACUCAAAGAUCGUCAUGUCACUUUUUGAAAGUUGACUAAAAAAUAUUCCUAAAAGUAGCAAAAGUUGGUGGAUUAUUGUGGUUUUCCUACUUUAUCGUUUUUGGUUGAAUAAAUUAAUAUAAAGCUGUCGAUUCUGCAUUAAAGCUUAUGAAUUGUGAAGAUAUAUGAAUACCAAAUCUUUCCAACUCCAACUCUUGAGUAAUUAUUAGGUUCCCACCCAUGCAAACAUAUUUUCUUUCGAGAAAAAGGGAUGCCUGAGUCAGGGCAUCCGUUGCCUCGGUUUAUUUGAUUUUGUUUGGUUCAAUUGUGGUUCUGUUAUUUAGUUUUUCCUCUGAUGGUUCUGUUUCUCUGUAUAUUUCACUGGGUUUGCUUUGCUUCACAUCUUUCUUUCAAAACUAAGUAUAUAUCAAAUCAUGCAUAUGCUCAUGCUCUUGCCUAUGAACACAUAAAGAACAACUGAAUAUCCUUCGUCGGAUAACAAAAAAAAAAAAUCUAAUCAUCCAUUACUUAAUUAGAAAAAAAAUUUGUUCGCUCUGCUUGCUUUAGUAAUUUGUCUUUUAUAUUUGACUGGCUCGACAAAGAGUUGUUGACCUCGUUUUGAUACACUUACAUUGCAGAGAUUGAAACCAGAUCUGUCAUACAUUAGUUGGCCAUAAAAAUAAUCAAAUCACUUUCUCUUUUUCACCUAUUUUCACGGAGAAAAAUGCUAAAGAAACUGGGAGAAUGCUAAAUUCAAAGGUGGAAAGUGUACAGAGAGAGGAAGCGCGUGUUUAGAGAGAGAGGUCUCAAAUAUAUAAGUUGGAUUUCUCAUAAAAGGUAGUAAGGUUUCUAUAAUUCUAUUUCUAUUUAUGCUGAAUUUCAUGGAAACGAAGUUAAUUUAGAGAUUUGUAUACUUUAUUUAUAGUUAAGUUUUCCAAAAAAAGGCGUAAAGUUGCUCCUAAGUUCAUUUUUAUAAUUGGUCGAUUAUUUUAGAAGUCACAAGGGUGCCAACAAGGAAUUGUAGAGUCGGAUACGUGUAGCCUUCAUUGUUUUCCUGAUUCGGUAUGUAUAUAGUUAUAUGUAUGUUUAGGUAGAUUAUGGUUGGUGAUGAUAUUGUUAAUAAUAUGGAUGAUUUGUUAGAUAUGAAAAUUAAGUUAUUAAGGGUGAAACAUGAAACCGAAUCCGUCACUGCAUUUGCUUGAAAAACAAUUUUACGAAUAAUAGGUCCUCGACAACUUUCAAUGUGGUUUAGUUACAUGUAUUCAAAACAUAAAUUAUUGUUAUGAUUUUAGAAAAUUUUGUUGUUUGUAAUUUAUAUUUGAAAUUUUGCAACAAUUGUUUGGCACAAAUAUUUUUAUUUAAGAAAAAGAGUGAUCUCAUUAUUGAGCUGGUUUUGAUAACACAUAUGGAAAUAAUAAAUUGAUUCAUAAUUAAGUCAAUUACCUAAUUAAAAUGUACCUCAAUAUUUUUUUCCUCAAUAUUUUUUUGGUAAUGUUGUAUCUGUUAUAGUAAUUUUUGGUAGUUAUGUUUGGAAAUAAUCACUAUGAAGAGAAUGAGUUAAACAUUUAGGAAAAUUUAUUUUUAGAAGUCCUAUUGAUAAUGUAAAUGCUAAAUUGAAUAUAAUGUUAAAUAAAAUUUAUUUAUACAUUUAUAAACAUUUAAAUAAAAUAUUUUUAUCUUGUAAGUAUAAUAAUUGAUUACUAAAAUAAAUAUUUUAUAUUAUUAAUUUUAUUUUUAGUUUGUUAUCUCAAUGUAAUUGUUGAUAAUAUCUUUAAAGUUAAUAAUUUUAUUUUCUAAUUAAUAAGGAUAAUUAAUAUAUGUAGGGAUGUAUAUGGAAUUAUAUUGAGUAUAAAACUGAUUAUCAAAAUCAGAUUUUGAAAAACUAUUUGCUUUCAAAAUUUAUUGUAGGAUUGAUGAUUUUACCAAAGGUGACUUCUAAAAUUUUUAUUAAAUACCAAAAUUAGCAUUUAACUUUUCAAAAUUAAUUUUGAGCCUCUAAAAAUAAUCCCAAACGGAACUUUAAUAUAUGUUUGAUUUUUUUUAAUUUUAUAUUAUAUGAGACAAAAAUAUAAUUUUUAUCGUUGAAAAACAAAUGACAGAUUUUUUUGAAUAAUUUAAAAAAAAAAGAAACACAGAGCUCAAGAUAAUGCUGUAAUUGUUGCAUAAGAAGGCUGCAACUUGAUGAUAAAUUUAUUAUACUAGUUUUAAGGUUUUAUUUUGUGUGUAAAAGUUGCUGGUUCUUGUUUUAGAAAUUUCUCUUUCUAUUUGCCUGACUCGACAAAGAGUCGGUGUACCUCGUACUGAUACACUUAAAUUACAAACAUGGAAACCAGAUCUGGCAUCAUAAAUUAAUCAAUCACCUUCUCAUUAAUCUACCAUUACUCUUUUCGUUCCCUUAUUUUUAUCUAACCAUUUAGGAUAGGAUUUGAAUUCAGUACUUAAUUAUUCUUUUUAAUAAUUUUAAAAAAUUAUAAUUAAUAGUUAUUGGAUAAAAAUAUAAAAUUAAUUAUAUUAUUUGUCAUACGCGUGUGACAAAAGGUUAAGAAAAAUUUAUUUACGUUUGCUCAAUCCACUCUCUUAUUAGCUCCCCCACUCUCUUAAUCAUUUCUUCUCAUUCGAAAAACACUUUGCUUCUGUUUGUUUGUUAUUUAUUUUUAGCUCCAUAACUGCUCGUCGUAACGCUGUCUCUCUGUUUUGACUGUCCUUUAGCCUUCUUCACUUCUACAUUGUUGUCAGGAUUCAAGAUGCUGGAAAUCAUUGUUACUCUCGUUUUGGAACCUUGUAAAAUGCUUGGCUCCUCCAACUGAACGCCAACUUGUUUAUUUGCGAUGGCGGAACUACAAUGCCAACCUUGAGAAUCUCAAGGCGGAAAUGGAGAAGUUGAAGGUUGAACGUACGAGCAUUCAGCGCAGAGUUUCAGAGGCGAAAGAAAAAGGGGAAGAGAUUGAAGAGAAGGUUGAGAAGUGGCUGGUUAGUGCUAACGGCAUCAUUGACCAGGCAGCCAAAUUCGUUGAAGAUGAAGAGUCAACAAAUAAGCGCUGUCUCAAGGGCUUGUGUCCUAAUUUGAAGACCCGCUAUCAGCUUAGCAAGAAAGCAGAGACGGAGGUGAAGGCCAUUAUUGAGCUUGGAAAACAAAAUUAGAGAAAUUUCCACGUUCAAAGACAUUUUAAUAUGUUAUAACUAAACUAAUCAGAAAAACGAGUUUAAAGAAAAAAAAAAAAGGAGAGGGAGGGGACGGCAUCGUUUAAUUAAAAAGAGCUAAAAUUUUACUCUGUCCAUGUUGCAAAGCAAGAAAGCCGAAAAGCACAAAACAACAAUAAGCCAACGUUUGGGGAACUCCUCCCACCAGGGAACCAAGCUCUCCGAAUCCACGCCCAAAUCCUCACUCCCCAACGCGACGUCUUUCAACGCCUCCUCAAACUUCACAGAUUUCUCCGACACAUUGUACGACUCGGACUUCACAUCCCGAACGGAUACUCGGAACGAGCAACCCCUGUCUCCGGACAGAACCCCAAGUCGAACAAAGGUUACGAGGCCUUCGAAUCAAGAGUUUCUACUUUGAAGUCUAUACAAAAUGCGUUGACUGAUGUGAAUGUCAGCAUUAUUGGGGUGUACGGCAUGGGCGGCAUUGGAAAGACGACACUGGUGAAGGAGUUUGCUAGGCAAGCCAGGGAAGACAAGCUGUUUGAUCGGGUGGUUUUUUCAGAGGUUUCACAAACUCCAGACAUAAAAAAGAUUCAAGGGGAAAUUGCAGAGAAGUUAGGUCUGGAGUUGUCCGAUGAAGCUGAAUAUAGAAGAGCUAGCAGGCUGUAUGAACGACUGAAGAAUGAGAAUAAGAUUCUUGUGAUUCUAGAUAAUAUCUGGAAACAUGUUGAUUUGGAGACGGUUGGAAUUCCCUUCGGAAAUGAUCAUAAAGGAUGUAGACUACUGCUGACAGCAAGAGACAAUAAUGUACUAUUAAGUAUGGGCUCCAAAGAUAACUUCUUGAUUGGCAAUCUAAAUGAAGAAGAAGCUUGGGGAUUGUUUAAGAUAAUGAAUAGUGAUGAUGUUGAAAAUUGUAAGUUCAAGUCUACAGCAAUUAAUGUAGCCCAGGCAUGUGGAGGGCACUGAGAAACAAGAGUCUGCAUGAGUGGAAGAAUGCCUUGCGAGAACUCCAAACACCUUCAGUGGUAAACUUCGAAGGUGUGCCUGCAGAGACUUAUUCAAGUAUUGAACUGAGUUUCAAGUAUUUAAAAGGUGAGCAACUCAAGAAAAUUUUUCUGCUCUGUAGUCUAAUAGGUAACAGUUUUUGGAUUACAGACUUGUUUAAAUACUCCAUGGGUUUGGGCAUAUUUCAAGGAGUCAACAGGAUGGUAGAUGCACGAAACAAAUUAUAUGCAUUGGUCCAUGAACUUAGUGUUGGGGAAAAAUUAGGUUUUUAAAUUUUUAUAAAACCUUUUGAAGAUCGCUCUCAUAUAAUAUAUAAGAAUUUGUAUUCUAGAAAUCGUACCUUGAAAAUCUGAAUUGGCUUUUUCCGCUGAAGUGAUUUAGGCUCCUAGAUCACGAUCCGCCACCACCACUCCUGAUAGAUCACGAUCUGUCACCACCACGCUUGUUAGAUCACGAACUGUCUCCAAUGAUCUUCCAGGUUAUGACUCAUGUUCGAUCUGCACUUGACGUGUGGGCGCCUUUAUCACUACCAAAGCAACUAGCAUGAGAAAAUUUUUCUCUCAACAAUAGAGAGAAAAAUCUUAUUCUCCGAUCUGUAUAAAGUGGCUCCUUUCUUUUUUCUUUAGGGAAAAAUAAGCCUUUUAUAUCACCCUUUAGUGAAAACCCUAGGCUCCUAAUGAUCAAAAAACAAAACCCACGUUUAUUUGCUUUUUCAAUAGGGGACCCACCUUGUAAAAUAACAUAAGGCCCCUUAUACAAAAGCUAAUUAAAUGGAGCCUCCCACUAAAUGAUAUAUUUAGGCUUUUGACCCAAAUAGCUAGUUAUCUUACUUAUUAGUCCAGUAGUGGUGCAAUCAAUUAAAUGAGCUAACCCGGGGAUCAUUUGGGAACAUACAAUAGUGGCUACAAUAAUUAGGCCUAUAAUUAAACUAGCCCAAUUAUUUAAUUCCAAAUCUACUCCACUAAAAGAUUGGAACCGACUUCCAUAAUUGUACGCUCGAAUAAUAAUUCGUCCCAAGCCACAUUGAUUUCUUUACUGCACAAUCCUUUGUACCACAUCGUUAAUUAAAUUGAUAUCUCAACUGUCCAAUCAAUUUAAUAACAUCUUAUUCCUUGAUCCUUACUGGUUUUCUCUAAUGAUCAUUUUCAACAUACUAAAUAUGUUGACACACUCUGGCCAGAGAAUUCUAUGAUCAAGUGCCGAAAACCCAUCAAGAGAUGUGUUGUACAAAUUCUAUAUUGUUAAUCCAUAACUUCAAUACUCAUAAUUGCUCCCACCAAGAUAACGGGUAAUCUUGACCACAAGGAUGUGUCGUGCCCAUUGGUAACUCAAAUGGAAUAACAAUUACAAUCAUGAAAUCAUAAUUAACUCAAGAUUAAGAUUACAGUAAAAUCAACGCCUAUGAGAUUUAAUAAGUCUGACAGUUAUUUCAAAGUUAAUUAAAUCUCAUAUGUGAUCCUGUUCAAUGUAGUCGCACUACAUCAAUAAAUUCAUACAUGAUUAAGACAAAUCAUUCAAUGAAUUUAUUACAGUCUAGCAUGACAAGUCGGUUGAAGAUUUGUCAUCAGCAUGACAAGUCGGUUGACAGUCCAGAGAGAGCUAUAUGACAAGAUUAUCGUGUCGUCUAUAUACGCAAAGAAAGCAUGUGGUGUUCACGUGUUUCACUUAAACUAAACGGCUGCUUGAACUGUCGUUUUGUUACUUGGAAUAACCAAGAUGAAGACACGUGUAAUGAAGGCUUAUUCAGAAGUCUGUUAAGCCGUUAAUCAGCGUGGGAAGUUACUGUUCUUCUCCACGGGAAACAGGGGAAGCUUGCUGGUGAUUUGAGAGUCCUUCUUUGAUCAAGCAUCGCCUAUAUAUAUAGCUGGGUAUUCUGGGGUUAACACUUUAAGUUCAUGUAUGCUUAGCUUCUCUAAAUAAAGCUUGCACUCUGUAAGACACUCGUUCAAUAAAGCUUGGAUUCACCCUUUCACAGUGGACGUAGGCUUCCAUAGCCGAACCACUAUAGCUUUCUUGUGUUGUCUUUUCUGCUCUUGAAUUCUUCGAUUAAACUAGCUUUGAUUCUUGGCUUGUUAAAGUGUUCUUUAAGCCGAGUUCUGUUCACAUUAGCUUUAGUUACAAGAACCCUUCUUGAGUGGAUCUUGGGGAGCCAUUUUUCGGUUCUUUACUGAUAUUUGGCACAACAAAUUGGUAUCAGAGCCUCCCUCUGAAGUUCUUGAUCUAAAGAUGACUGGCCCUAAACUUGAAGUAGAAAAGUUUACUGGGGAAAAUGACUUUCACCUAUGGAGACUCAAGAUGAAAGCACUGUUGGUACAUCAAGGCCUGGAUGAAGCCCUUGCCGAAGUCACAUCACCCAAGAAACCAAGGAAGAUAUCAGAUGAUGACCUCCUAGAUGUGCUUGAUAGGGCUCACAGUGCAAUUAUCUUAAGUCUUGGAGAUGGUGUACUCAGAGAAGUGGGAGGAGAGACAACAGCUGCUGGAUUGUGGAAGAAGCUUGAGGACUUGUACACCAAAAAGUCCAUGGCCAAAAGGUUAGCCACCAAAAAGAAGCUUUACACAUUGCAGAUGGAAGAGGGUUCAUCAAUCUUUGAUCACAUUGAUGCCUUUAACAAGAUCAUCUUGGAUCUUGAAGACAUUAAUGUAAAGAUCGAUGAUGAAGAUAAAGCCAUGAUUCUGUUGUGCUCUCUACCAAGCUCUUAUGAGCAUCUGGUCGACACUCUCAUGUAUGGAAGACAGUCCCUCUCGAUGGUGGAUGUAAAAGAGACAUUGAACUCCAAGGCUGCAAGCAAGAAAGAAGCAAGUCAUGGGGAAGGAUUAACAGUUAGAGGGAGAUCAGAAAAGAAAGAAGGUGUUAAAGGGAAGAAGAAAAGAUCCAAGUCAAGACCAAAGAACAUGAAGUGCUUUCACUGCCACAAGGAAGGCCACUUCAAAAAGGACUGUCCAGAGAGGAAAUAUAAAAACAAUGAAGCAAAAGAGAAGACUGGAGAUGCUGCUGUUGCAUCAGAAGGACAAGAAUCUGAUGGUUAUGACUCUGCUGGGGUUCUCAUAGUCUCUGAUGGUGCAUCUAAAGGUAACUGGGUUUUAGAUUCUGGCUGUUCAUUCCAUAUGUGCCCUAAUAAAGCCUUCUUUAAAAACUAUGAAACCUAUGAUGGAGGGAUAGUUGUAAUGGGGAAUGAUGCUAGUUGUAGAGUAAUUGGCAGGGGCACCAUUAAACUGAAAAUGCUUGAUGGCACAAUAAAAGAAUUAGCAAAUGUCAGACAUGUUCCUGAUUUAAAGAGAAAUUUGAUUUCCCUUGGCAUGCUUGACAAAAUGGGGUGUGUUAUCAAGCUUGAGUCAGGCACUCUAAAGGUGUUGAAAGGGUCUAUGGUGUUGAUGAAAGGAAACUUAGACAAUGGCCUGUAUGUACUCUAGGGGUCUGUAGUCACAGGAGAUGUUGGAGUUUCAAACCAGAAUCUAAACAAAACCUUAUUGUGGCACUUUAGAUUAGGCCAUAUGAGUGAGAGAGGCUUGAGAGAACUAUCAAAACAGAGAGUCUUGGGUGAAGAUAAAAUAGAGCCCUUGGAAUUUUGUGAGGAGUGUGUCCUAGGCAAAUCAUCAAGAGUCAAAUUCAGCACAGGUGCACAUGUUUCAAUAGGAACUCUAGAAUACAUACAUGCUGAUCUGUGGGGACUUGCACAGACAGCAUCUUUAGGAGGGGCAAGGUAUUUUCUAUCUCUAAUUGAUGACCAUUCCAGAAUGGUUUGGGUGUAUGUGCUGAAGAACAAAGAUGAAGUGUUUGAACAUUUCAAGAACUGGAAAACACUGAUUGAAACUCAGACCAAUAGGAAGGUUAAGAAGCUCAGAACUGAUAAUGGAUUAGAAUUCUGCAACAAGAUGUUUGAAGAGUUCUGCAGCAAGCAUGGGAUCAUGAGGCACAGAACAGUAAGAUAUACACCUCAGCAAAAUGGAUUAGCUGAGAGGAUGAAUAGAACCUUAGUUGACAAAGUGAGGUGUAUGCUCAUUCACUCUAAGCUACCUAUGUCCUUGUGGGCUGAGGCUCUGUCAACAGCUUGUCACAUUGUGAAUAGAAGUCCUUCAACUGGAAUUAACUUUAAAACACCAUAUGAACUUUGGUAUAGUAAACCAGCAGAUUACUCCAGUUUGAAGAUCUUUGGUUGUCCAGCAUAUGCUCACAUCAAACAAGGAAAAUUAGAGCCCAGGGCAUUGAGGUGUAUAUUUCUUGGUUAUCCUGAAGGGGUAAAAGGGUACAAACUGUGGUGCACAGAUAUGAAGCCACCAAAAGCAAUCAUAAGCAGAGAUGUAGUAUUUAAUGAAGCUGAGAUGCUCCAGCACUCAGUAUCUCUAAAGACUACAAAUGCUGAAAUAAAAGAGAAAGAUGAGAGAUCUUUUCUUGAGGUGGAGCUGUUAAACUCAAACCAGAAACAGAAAUCAAGAUCAGAGGCUGGAGACAAAACAGACAUGGAAAUACAUGACACUGAGAAUGAAGCAGCAAGUGAUCAGGCAAUAAGUGAAGAUUAUCAGUUAGUGAGGGAUAGAGUAAAGAGAGUAAUAAGACCUCCUAGUAGAUAUGCAUAUGCAGAUCUAAUAGCAUUUGCAUUAACAGCAGCAGAUGAAAUAGCAACAGAUGAACCCAGAACAUACUCAGAAGCUAUUAACAGUGAUAAAGCAGUAGAAUGGAUAAAGGCUAUGGAUGAGGAAAUGAUGUCUUUGAAAAAGAAUCACACCUGGAAUCUCAUUGAAAGACCAGCAAACAAGAGGGUAGUAGGAUGCAAAUGGAUAUUCAGAAUCAAGGAGGGAAUACCAGAUGUUGAGCCACAAAGAUACAAAGCCAGGCUGGUUGCAAAAGGCUUCACUCAGAAAGAGGGGGUUGACUUUACAGAAGUUUUCUCCCCAGUGGUGAGACAUGCUUCCCUGAGAAUCCUGUUAUCCCUAGUGGCUGUACAAGACAUGCAUCUUGAACAGAGGGAUGUGAAGACUGCUUUCCUGCAUGGUGAAAUAGAUGAGAUGAUAGUGAUGUCACAACCUGAAGGGUAUGAGGAUUCAGAAAAGGCUGAUCAUGUAUGUCAUCUAAGGAAGUCACUAUAUGGAUUAAAACAAUCUCCAAGACUGUGGUAUCUGAGGUUUGACAGGUUUAUGUCAGAUCAUGGUUUUAAAAUGAGUAGUUUUGACUGCUGUGUUUACUUUAAAACUAUAGAAGGUGGUGACAAAAUCUACCUACUACUCUAUGUAGAUGACAUGCUAAUAGCUUGUAAAGAGAUGGAAUUCAUCAAUGAACUGAAACAGCAGCUGAGCAAUACAUUUGAGAUGAAGGAUCUGGGUGCUGCAAAGAAGAUCCUUGGAGUUCCGCUAAAGAGAGACAGGAAGAAUGGCAUCCUAAGCCUAACACAGCACAAAUACAUCAGGAAAGUACUUGAGAAAUUUAAUAUGGAUAAAUGUAAACCAGUACAGACACUACUGCCUUCACAUUUCAGACUGUCCUGUCAACAGUGUCCAAACUCUGAUACUGAGAAGGCUGAAAUGAAUAGAUUUCCAUACUCAAGUGCUGUUGGAUGUUUAAUGUAUGCAAUGGUCCUUACUAGGCCUGAUCUCUCACAUGCAGUGAGUGUGGUAAGCAGGUAUAUGGCAAACCCUGGGAAGGAUCAUUGGAGGGUUGUUGUAUGGAUCUUAAGAUACCUUGCUGGUACAACUGGAUAUGGUUUGAUCUAUGGAGCUGAGAAAUAUGCAGAGGUUAGUGUGGAGGGUUAUGUAGAUGCAGAUUAUGCUGGAGAUCUGGAUAAAAGAAGGUCUUUAACAGGUUUUCUUUUUAUGCUUAAUGGCUGCACCAUAAACUGGAAGGCUUCACUGUAGAGUGUUGUUGCUCUGUCAACAACUGAGGCAGAAUACACAGCAGCUGCAGAGGCAAUCAAAGAAGCUAUCUGGCUCAGAGGGAUGGUGACAGAACUGGGGUUUGAACAAAAACAAAUCACAGUUCAUUGUGACAGCCAAAGUGCCAUAUGUCUAAGCAAGAACCAGAUUCACCACGAGAAGACCAAGCAUAUUGAUAUCAAGCUUCACUUUGUCAGAUUGGAAAUAUCAAAGGGUGUGAUUAAGCUGGCUAAAAUACACACUGAUAGCAACAUUGCUGACAUGCUUACCAAAGCUGUACCAGGAGCUAAGUUUGAGUUAUGCUUAAACUCAGCUGGCAUUUGCAGGGUAUAGACUGCAGGAAAUAAGUGGAAGGGUGAACCUGAGGGAAUGGAUGAUUUGAGCUCAAGGUGGAGAAUGUUGAAUAUGAACUGCAAAUCGGUUUUAUAGUCAAGCAUGACAAGUCGGUUGAAGAUUUGUCAUCAGCAUGACAUGUCGGUUGACAGUCCAGAGAGAGCUAUAUGACAAGAUUAUCGUGUCGUCUAUAUACGCAAAGAAAGCAUGUGGUGUUCACGUGUUUCACUUAAACUAAACGGCUGCUUGAACUGUCGUUUUGUUACUUGGAAUAACCAAGAUGAAGAAACAUGUAAUGAAGGCUUAUUCAGAAGUCUGUUAAGCCGUUAAUCAGCGCGGGAAGCUACUGUUCUUCUCCACAGGAAACAGGGGAAGCUUGCUGGUGAUUUGAGAGUCCUUCUUUGAUCAAGCAUCGCCUAUAUAUAUAGCUGGGUAUUCUGGGGUUAACACUUUAAGUUCAUGUAUGCUUAGCUUCUCUAAAUAAAGCUUGCACUCUGUAAGACACUCGUUCAAUAAAGCUUGGAUUCACCCUUUCACAGUGGACGUAGGCUUCCAUAGCCGAACCACUAUAGCUUUCUUGUGUUGUCUUUUCUGCUCUUGAAUUCUUCGAUUAAACUAGCUUUGAUUCUUGGCUUGUUAAAGUGUUCUUUAAGCCGAGUUCUGUUCACAUUAGCUUUAGUUACAAGAACCCUUCUUGAGUGGAUCUUGGGGAGCCAUUUUUCGGUUCUUUACUGAUAUUUGGCACAACAAAAAUAAUCCAGACUUCCUGUGUAUCGUCGAUUCAAUGAAGAGAGAACCUUGUGUCGCCUUUCCUCUUUUGGAGUCCCUUACUCUUCACAAUUUGAUCAAUACGGAGAGGAUAUGUAUUGAUCGACUCAAAAUAGAGUCCUUCAAAGAACUCAAAACCAUAAAAGUGGAAAAUUGUGAUGAGUUGAGUAAUAUCUUCUGGCUCUCUAGUAGUACAAAAUGCCUUCCAAGACUGGAGAGGAUUGCAGUUAUCAAUUGCAACAGCAUGGAAGAGAAGCUGAUGUUGAUGUUGAUGAGAAGAUAGAGUUAGGUCAAUUAAGAUCUUUGAGUCUGGGAAAGCUUCCAAAGUUUACAAGGUUUUGCCGUGAAGUGAAGACUCCUUUCACAUCACCAAACAGACAAGAGUCGCAAGAGGAAUUGACAGCCAGUUCCAACGAGAUCAGUUCGGAAACGUCAACUCUGCUUUUCAACGAGAAGGCACGUAGGCUAAUGCUUCUUUUUUUUUUAAGUUCUAUCAUGCACUCGCAUUUGAAAAAAAAAAGUCUCAUACACUCGCUAAUUAACCUCUUAAUAAGUGCUUCUCAUAUGGAUAUUGUGUCAAAACAAGUGCUUUUCAUACUGAUAUUGGAUCUAAAGAGAAAAUUAUCUUUAGAUAGUGUUGCCAAAUUUGGAGGCUUUGGAGCUGAAUGCUAUUAAUGUCGACGAGAUUUGGCAUGACAAUCAACUUACGGCCAUGAUUAAUAGCUUUCAAAGCUUGACACGAUUGAUAGUGUGGGGCUGUGACAAAUUAAAAUACAUAUUUUCAGCUUCUAUGAUCCAAAGCCUUAAGCACCUCCAACACCUGGAGAUACGGAUAUGUAUGGGUUUACAAGGGAUCAUCUCCAAAGACAGAGCAGAUCAAGUGACCCCAUAUUUUGUCUUUCCACAAGUGACCACUCUGAAUCUCGAAGGUCUACCAGAACUCAGAUGUUUAUACCCUGGAAUGCAUACUUCAGAAUGGCCAGCACUAAAAAAAUUGGUGGCCUGUAAUUGUGAUAAAAUAACGUUGUCCCAGAAUAACGAGAAUGAUCAAUUUGGUAUUCCGGCACAACAGCCCCUGCUCUCGUUCAAGAAGGUAUGAAACCAAAUUUUAGAUUUUUUUUUAUCAAUUAUCUUUGUUGUUCCUCACUCACAGAUCAGGAGGUUUAAUAAAUACCUAUAUAGAGUUUUUUUCUAGUGGGAAUGCCCUUAUUUUUUACUUUUUUCAUGCGGAGAAACUUUCAAAUCCCACGGUUUAAGAGCGUGUGUGUGUAUAUAUAUAUAUAUAUAUAUAAUCAUUCUCAGGUGUGGGGGUCCGCAUUUUUUUUAAUGUGGACACGCUUUUAAACUGUGCGGUUUAAGAGAGUUAGUUUUUAAAUGAAUUAUGAGUCAUGCGGUUUUAGGGAGUUAAAAACUAACUCUUUUAAACCAUGGAGUCUAAAAACUGAUCCACAUGAAAAAAAAAAAAAGAUGUCCGCACUAGAGAAGGAAUAUAUAUAUAUAUAUAUAUAUAUAUAUAUUAGUUAGAUCAUUGAAAACUUUGAUUACACAAUGAAUUUUGCCAGUCUUGAAUUAUGGAUCAAUGUGCUAAGUUAAUAAUUUGAGCUCGAUGAUGAUCAGAUCUUACCCAACUUGGAGGAACUGGCAUCAAGUGGAAAAGACAUCACGAUGAUUUUGCAAGGCGAUUUCCCACAACACCUCUUUGGCAGUCUUAAACUACUACAGGUUGGGGAUGAUGACUUAGCUUGCUUUCAACUUGGUUUACUUGAGAGGUUUAACAAUCUUGAAUUUCUCUUCCUAUCGGAUUGUUCGUAUGAAGUGGUAUUUUCAAAUGAAGGAUAUUUGGAGAAACAUGGGAGGAAGUUGGCACUGAUAAAAAGGUUAAACCUGACCAGACUUAAUCGUCUGCAGCAACUGUGGAAACAUGACUCCAAACAGCUGGACUUCAUUUUUCAACAUCUUGAAAUUCUAAGAGCAUAUCACUGUCAAAAUCUGUUAAGUCGAUUGCCAUCAUCAUCGGUAUCUUUUCGGAAUCUCGCACAUCUGCAAGCUUUUGCUUGCAAGAAAUUGAUGAACUUAGGAACAUGCUCCACAGCAAAAAGUCUGGAGCGACUCUUAUCAUUGAAGGUAUUUGGAUGCACAGCAAUGACAGAAGUCGUAGUAUGUGACGAAGAUGAAACAGCAAAUAUAAAAGAAGAGAUUGUUUUCAGCAAAUUGAAUGUGCUGUAUCUGUCUGAUUUAGAUAGUCUCACAAGCUUCUCCUCUGCCAAUUACACAUUCAAAUUCCUAUCUUUGCAAGAUUUGUCCGUGAUUGGUUGUCCCAAGAUGAAGAUUUUCACCAAAGGAGAAUCAACCACGCCUCCGAGAGUAAACGUCCGGUACGGAAGGAGUGAGGACAAACUACGUUGGUCUAAUAAUGACCUUAACACAAUCAUACAACAAUUAUUAAUGAGUGAGUUUUUUAUCACGUUUUUAUAUGAGAAUCUUAUGAAAUUCCUCGGAAAUUCAUUAAUCAUUAGUUUUUAUUUCAUAAUAUGAAUUUUAAUUUAAAUUGAUGAAUGCUAAUUUUAUUUUCAGCUGUUGGAGGGGUCGUCUCGUUACUCAUCGCAGUACUGAUCUCAUACGCCUUUAGUACUAGGCGAGCUGUCAAUCUGAAGAAUAAGGUCCCACGUAUUUUAUUUUUAGAAUGAAAUCCCUAGAAAAUAUCAUUCAAAGUGACAACACUUUCAUGUGGAAAGCUUUCAGACUUUUUUCCCCCGCUUUAAUCGAGGGGUCUGUCAAAUUUAGUUUUUAAAUGAGAAUAAUUUUCAUGGGCCAUUUCACAAUGAAAAAUUAGUUUUUUCUAAAGUGAUGACAGUAAAAACAUAUGAAUUAAUGACCCAGUACAUUACCACAAAAUUAAUCUUGGUUAGUUAGGUUAUAUGAAAAUUGUACAAAAUAAAUAUUUUUUCUAGUUCAUGCUCAAUGUCGUGCUCUAUAAUUGCAGAAUUCCCAAGUGAUGAAGAAGAUUGAGGUCACUCCUCUGUGUUUGCAGCAUCAGAAAUAAGAGCUGUUUUUCUGUCAAACUCGUGCUCCGUCCUUUGAAGUUAAGUUUACAUGCUGAGGUUAUUCACUUUACUGUAUCACUAAUGCAGCUUUGAAAGUGUUUCAUUAACCCUCCGUUGUGUUUCUUUCAUUUGACUAUCUUAAGUUCAAAAACGAUGUAUCAAUUUACCAUUGGUGUGUACUGCUUCUUGUAAUAUAUGCAAUAAAUUUCCAGUUUAUUUUGACAUUUUGAAUAUAAAUUCUUUUGAAUUUUCAGUCAGAGGUUUGGUAGUUGUUCUGAUUUAUCUUCAGUUUAAUUUUGUGAUCACAGGAACGUUAGGACUUGCAUGCAUGAACGCACAUUAAAUCACAGAAUUUUUGUCAUACAUCCAUGCAGAUGAAAUUUUAUCAGCAAUCUUGUAAUUUUCUGUUAUUGUUGUCGUUGUCAUUAUUCUAUUGCUGGUCCUGUUUGAAAUUUCUAGUAUUUUAGAUGUGAAAUUUAUUAUAUUAGGUAUUCAAGGUAUAUAUAUGAUGCUGAAUACAGGGCUUCUGUUGUCUAAAUUUGUUUUAUUUUGUUUGCUUCACAUAUAAUUUUCAAAAACUUUUGAAGAAUGCUGAGAGAAGGAACAAUUGGGCUAAAGAAUCAAAUGUAAUAUUGAAGUUAGUUUGUUAAUUGCCAUCAUUGCUGUCCUGUUAUUUUAAUUUUUGCCCUGUUUGUUCUGUUUCCCUGUUUGCUCCACAUCUAUCUUCCCUAACUUAGAAGGCAAGGAAUUUGUACUUGAAGACGAAUAGCAGUUGCACAAAAUGUGGCAACCACACCAAAUAAUCAGUUUGUUGAGAAAUUUUCAAAGCUUUACUUGAUAAAAAUUUGAAAGUUUUGAAGAGGAUUCAGGUCGCUCUUCUGUGCAGCCUCUGGAAUAAGAGCUGUGUCACUGUUGAAAAGUUUACAUGCUGAGAGGCUUCCAUCUUCAUUGUUCUACUUAUGCUUUACUUCAUCUUCACCGUGUCACUACAAGGUUAAGGCAGCUACAGUUAUGACGGAGAAGGAUCAUUCCCUGAUUUUGGCUGCUUCAAGUUAGUUGGGUUUGGUGAACCAAGUUGUGUCAGGAUUAGCUUAUAAGGGCCCACAUGAUUUCAGACGAGCCUGAGCUUUUGUCUCUCCCUCAUCCAUCUCAACACACUCAAUCUUCAUGUGGCUUUUGCCCGCCAAUCCACUAGCUCCAGCUUCCUGAAAAUGUAAAACAACUACUAGUAUUAUGGUCAGUGAUCGCUGUCAGAUUGAUUGGAUUAAUUAUAAUUACAGAUCAAACUGUUGAAAUUCAAUUUAACAGAUACACACGCCUUGGCGCGUUUCCAAGUUUCGGCAACGGUGAGAGGACCGUGUUCCUUGACUAUGGCAAACAUAACCCUCGUAAUUCUCUGAGUUUGCUCCGGUGGAGUUUUUGAGAUCUAUGGGUUUCAUCUUUGGUUUCGGCUUCGUCGACAAAUAUCUCACAAACAUUCUGCAUUCAAGAAACAACACAACUCCCGCUCUAAAUGUAUUUUAUACACUUUCAAACGCACCGUUUUGAUUUUUGUUAUAAACAUGACGCCGCCAUUUUUAUUUUUUAUUUUUUUUUUGAACAGGCGUAGCACUACUGUUUUCAGUAAUUUUGGGAUGUGUAGCACUACUGUUUCUUUUUAAUCCUUUCCUUUUAUCUUUUAUAGCCAUCUUCCAUGUUAUUAGGAGGAGUGGUUUUUACUAUUUUAAAAAAAAUUUGAUCAAAUUAAACUUUUGAUCAGAGUUCAUAACAAAAAUCAAAACGGUGCAUGACAUCGAGAUUAUGAUGAAUCAAAUUGAACUCCCAGUACGUUAGUUCAUAAAAAAUGCUUUUCUUCUUCCAAGUAAUCUUAUCAUUUCCUUCAUUUUAUUCACUCUCCUCUUUUCAAGUCUUCAAUCUUACACUCGGUAAGUAAAAUAUUCAACUGCUUUUUCACUUCAGUUCCGGACAACCGAGAAGGUGCUUGUCUCUACUCUCCACUCCCUAUUCUCUAGUUUUAUCAAAAGACACUAUUUUCGAAACCUAUGAUUCGUUGGUUAAAAUCGACGGUAACCCAGUGACAAAAUUUUCUAUUAUGUAUCAACCAAUUAGAUCUAGUGUUUUGUUGGCAAACAAGAAAUGCUUAUUUACCUUUAAUAGUCCACCCAAACAAGUUGGCAUUUGCUAGAAAGUCAGAGAUAGUCCAUAACAAUGCUGCAUGUAACUUGAACAUUUGAUUACGUGAUGCAUCGUGUAUCAUUCCAACCAUACUAUCAUCAGCACCCGAGCCAUGACUAACCUGUUUCUUAGUUAGAUUUCAAAGAUGAAGAUGGCUUACCCUGCAAUAUCCAGCUUUAAUACUUUAACCAAAAACCAUUUAUAAUGAUAUGGUCUCCUGCCACUUCCCUUAUAACGAAAUAUCGAUUACGACACUUCUUACAAGGACAAUAAAUACUUGUAUCACCAACAACAUUCUCAAAUGCAAAAUCUAGAAAUUUUUCAACCCCAUUGGUAUAUGACUUGGAUAUCUAUUUGGCAAACCAACCCAACUCUUGUCCAUGACUAUCUCCCUUUAAUGCACUACAAAAAUUAGUUAAAUAAAUCAUUUUAGUUCUUCAUUUCUACUACUAAACAAGAUAUUUUCAUGUGUGCACAGUUUUGGAAUAUAAUGAAAAAAUCAUUAUACAAUUUUAUGGUUAAUUUCGUUAGAAUAUUUAUAUAGAUGAAAGGAAGCAAAGCCAAAAGAAUCAGAGAAAAAGAUGUGAAAAUUAAAGUAUAUAUACAAUAAUAAUUAAUGUAAAAAAAAUGUUUCCAAUACCUUGUGCAAAGAAAUAUCCUCACCCACUGCUGAGAACUUCACUUGGCUAUCAAUUACAGAUAUAUAAAGCCUGUUACCUUAAAAAAAAUUAGGCCAGCCAGCUGAAGCAUACUUAUAAACCAACAUUGGAGAUAGUACUCCAUUUAUAAACAAAAUUACAACUUUACAAGCUCAAAACCAAGUCAACUCAGCAAAACCAUUACCGAUUACAUCCAUCCAACUCAGCUCCUCCACUCCCAUCAAUGCAUCCAACAUUCCCUUCAUAUUUACAAAAGGUAAGUGGUUCUAUAUAUCCCACUCAAGAAUGCAUAAGUUUCUUCAAUCUCAAGUAUCUAGAGUUUUCUUCUAUGUUUAUAGAAAUUUCAGAAGAAUCUCCCUAUAAUUCUUCAAGUACAUGACAUAGAUAUAUGAGUGUUUAUGUGCUAUGCCAAAACAACACAUAGUAUGUACCCAGAGACCAUGAGGAGCAGCUACUAAGAAACCCAUUUUUACAUCGGAAAAAAACUUCAUGUACUAACCAAUGAGUAGUUGUUAAAAGCCAAUGAAUAAUUUUAUAAGAAAUCAACAAUAAUGUUGAAAAAAAAACCAAACAAAAAUAAUAAAGCCAAUGAAUAGAUUAAGGCUCUUUAAGGUCUAAUAAACUAAUCAAACUAAGUUGUGGGUAAAGGCGAAUAUGUUUGUUUGGUCAAUAAUAAGCUCAACAAAUCACUAAUAAUCACCUAAUCACUUUUCCUUAUGCUAUGCAAUGUAAUGGCCUGGGUAAUGGCUGCAAGGCAGGCAAUAACUAGCUAGCCAGUUAUGAUAGUGGAUUAACUUAACCUACUGGAAAUCUGAAGACCAAAACGAAGAAGCUUUGACGAGAACUAGAAUAGGAACGUUCAUACCCAAAACUAAUAUAUAUGAUUAAGAAACUUGAUUAAAUGUAUAAUUUUGUUUGCCGCAAUUUAAGAGAACUUUCAAAAGAUGCUAAGGUACACCAAAUCCCACUAUUCCAUACUCGUAAACACAAAAAACCAUGGCAAAAAUUAAUUACUAUAUCAAAUAAAAUAGGUCGUAGGACAUUGAGAUUAGGAAAACAUGAUUUGUAUACUGUAAAAUAACUAUAUCUGCAUAGUCAACUAUAUUUCUGUUAGAACUCUAAAGUUUUCCAUUAAAUUUUUUUUCCCUCUUAAGUAAACCACUUAACUGAAAUGCUUAAGCCAAUAUUGACAAUCAUAGACAUACAAGUAUUAUUAAGCUCGUUCAAGUGAAAUGAGCAUUAUUUUACAUAUCCUUUAGGUUUUUAAGUCAUUUAGAAGUCAUUCAUGUUAAAAAAUUUCUUCAUAUACUUUCAAUAUAAUUAGUACCUGCACAAUUAAUUAAUUAAAUAAAUCUGUUUCAGCUGGCACAGGAACUUAAUUGAUCAGAGCUAGUAGUCAUAGCUAGGACUUGAACGGGGCACCUUUCAAAGUUCAAGAGGAGCAUCUGAACAGAAUGAAAGCAUAUAACUUAUCAGACAAUAUAACAAGCACUUGGUGAGUAUACAAGAUAAACUAAAACAAGUUAUCUAGAAAAUGAAACUAAAACCCAAGCUCCGCUAUUCAUUGUAGAAGCUUUAAACAUAAAAUUAAAGUAAUUCUAAUUGCAAAACAUUAGAAUGGAUGUUGAAAUUAAAGCUAAAUUCAAUAGUAAUUCAAAUGAAUCCAUUUGAACUUUGUUAAUUCCGCAGAACAAAAUUAAUUUGAGUGAGCAAACUCACCAAUGGAACAAGAACACUGGGGCUUCAACUUGUAGGAAUAAAAAAAGGAAAAAUAUUGCUGGCGGGACAAAAAUUGACAAUGACGGCUAAAAUACGAAUUAUAAAAAAAAACCAAAAUCUAUAAUUACAAGCUAAGAGAAGAAACUCAUAAUCACAAGCUUACCUCAAAAGAUGAAGGGAGAAUACGAUGAAGAAGAAGAUGGCCGGUGUUUUACGCCGUUCGCCGGCAACCAGUUAGGUUUACGAUGGUGGCUAGUCCAGCGAAUAGUUUUGUAACUGGAAAUAAAUUUAAAAUUCUAAAAUAGUAGGAUACCGAACGGCUCUUUACCGUCACGUGGUUAGUAACAUAUGCGACAGCAGUGUGGCUGUCACAUAAAGGGUAACAAAAGCAACUCGGGUUUACAAAGCUAGAAGUUAGUGAUAUACGUAAUGGCUUUGUUUGCAUUCACAUUAGGGGUCACAUAUACCCUAUUUUCUUGUAGUACAUGGUAAAUUCUAUUUGAAAAUUGCUAAGUAUUUUAGAUUUGUACGAAUUCAUUUUUGUGUGCUCGUUGAAUAAUAAUGUAUAAUAAAUUAAAUUUUUGGUGUAAUUUUCACAAUAUUGUAUUAUAAAUAUGUCUCGUUGAGAGGUUUUGAAACCGUUUUGAUUUAUCAUAAUUGAUAUUUCCACAAUUACAAAAGAUGCCAGAGAAAAUUUGAUUAUCUUAAGAAAUGAGUGCAUGAGAUAUGAAAUCAACCAUACCAUAAAAUCAAAUUUUAUCAUGUCAUCCUUCCUUGUUCAAAUUUAUGGAAACGAUAAUCAAAUGCAUCCAUGAACUAGUAUAUUCCGACAUAGGUACCAUCAAAUUAUUGCUAUGUCAUACUUAUAAAUUUUAAUAACAACAAUUGGGCCAAGCAUAUGUUGGGCAUUUGAAGAUUUAUAAGCUCCAUCCUUGAAAAAAUAAGGCUUGACUAUUCUCAAUAUAAUUCUUUUUGUUUUAAGUUCUUAAUUAAGCUUUCUUGCUUGUUUUCAAGAGCCAGUAUUGUAAUGAUCGACAAAGAUGAUUUGCAUUUAUUGCACUUGGCAGUUAUGUGUCACUUAUUAAUUAGAUUUAAAUUUUAUAAAUUAAUUAAGUUGAUUAGUACUUUAUGUUGAUGCAGAAAUCUGGUCAAGUCGGUUGUUGACUCAAUACCACAUCCUCGCGUCAGCAUUAAAUUUGUUUGGUGGAGAAGCGGCUUGUUAAUCUCCAAGAAAAUCCUCUAACCACGAGCAGAUAAUCCAUGAGCAGAUGAUCCAUGAGCUGCUAAUCAGUGAGCACCAUGAGCAGAUGUUCUAUGAGUAGAUAAUGAAUGAGAAGAUGAUCCAUGAGCAGAUAACCCGCAAGCAUGCAAGCACAAAGAACAGUCAGGGGGCACCAUAAGCUUUUCCAGCGAAAACCCUCUGACGCUCAAGUCAGGGAUUUGGGUCUACUUAGAAAAAUCCGUACCACAAUUCACGCGGCUUAAUUAUGAAUACUUUAAAAAAAAGCUUUUAAAUAAAUUUAUGGAAAAAGAAUAGAAAAUAAUCAAUCUUAAAAAAAGAAAUCAUGGCAGAAAGAGAAGUUUCCCAGUGAUAGAGAGAAAAAGAUCCCAUGGGUUCAGUCGCCCAGAGAGAGAGAGAGAUAAAAAGAAUCCCCCCAUUUUCCUCCCUUUCCCAGAGUUUUUAUAGGAAAUUAUAAUUGUUUUUUUCCUCUCACCUAAAACUCUCAAGAAGACUACUAAUUUUCAGCCCGCUAAGAAUAUGGUCCCUAAUAUUUCGAAGAAAAUAAGUGAGAUUUGUUUUGACUGAGUCGUGCUUCCUGGUAACCUCCUGGUCGAGAUAAUCUGCUCGAGGUCACCAAAUAAUCUCAAGGUCGAGGUGAUAUGCUCAAGGUGGCCAAAUAAUCUCUUAGUCAAGAUGAUGUGCUCGAGAUCACCAAAUAAUAUAUUGGUCAAGGUGAUGUGCUCGAGGUGACCAAAUAAUCUCUUGGUAGCCUAUCAACUAUUUGUUCACUUUUUACUUUGAGAAGAGCACAAUAAUGUAUGAGUAAAUACCUUAUCUUGGUCACCCUAUUUCAUUCCCCGAAUACUUUAUAUGUGCACUAAAUGAUAGAUACUGCAUAAAUUGGGACACUAGUAACUAUGUAUCCAAACUAUGUAAUAUUUUUUUGUCACAAACUCAAUCAUGGCCUGAUAUUCUAAAUAUUAUUUAGAAUACCAUUUCAAGCCCCAUGGGGGCUCCUUCCAUUUAAAAAAAAAAGUAUGAAAUAGAUGUAGAUUUUUCUUCAGAUAUUAUUAGUAAGAAAGAGUACCUUUGGUGGCAAUGGUCCGGGAUGAUUUGGGAUUUGACAAUUCCACCCUCAUCUUAAUUAUAAAAUGGAAUGUAAGUAAUAAGUAUGGAUAAACUCAUCCUGCUUAUAUAUUGGUGAUCAAAAUUAGGACCAAUCUCAAACCGCUCACAAUUAUGUCCUAUCCUAACUAUCCUGAAUGUCUCGAAUGCCUCCCUUAAUUAUCAUUUUAGUUCUCAUUAACAUAUUAGCAAAAUUUCCAUAUAUUAAAAAUAUUAGGGUCUGACUAUCUAUACUUAAAAAAUUACUAUGAACACUCAAUUAUUUUAUUCCCUCAUCUAAUAAAUUUAAAAAAUUAAGUUUUAUUUUGCACACUUUUUAAAUAACAAAAACAUCUUUACAUGAACCUAAUAAGUUUCUUUAAAAAAAUUAAAUCAAUUAUUUUUAUUUAUUCAAAAUACUAAUAAAACUAUUCAGCAGACCGUGAAAUAAAAUUUUUAAGAAAUUUAGCAUAUACAACAUUGAAAUCAAUUUAUGUUUCAAAUAAAUUCUUUAAUACAAUCAUAGUAAUUACUUAUUGUUUAUUAAAGAAUGUGUUCACGAUUGUUUUUAAUUUUGCGAAAUCAAAAAAGAAGAAGAAGAAGUUUGGGGUUUAAGAUACAUUUAAUUUUUAGUGUAACAGUUGUAUCAAACAAAAUAAAAACUAAAACAUCCAAAAGUUACAAGUUCCAACACCUCCCAAAUAAAGGCCCGUUAGGAUUGUUUUUGGGAAGCUCAAAAGUGAUUUUGAAAACUAAAAGCUAAUUUUUAGUGUUUUAUAAAUUUUUUUAGUAAUUACUUUUGGAAAAAUCAUUUCAUCAUACAGUGGAUUUUAAAAAGUAUAAAUAGUUUUUCAAAAUUUGAUUUUGAAAAUCACUUUUAUACUUAAUCCAAUUUUAUAUAUAUAUCCUCAUUAUAUAAUAAAAAUCCAAAAAUAUCUUUAUUAAUUAAGAAAUAAAAUUAUUAAGUUUAAAGAGAUUAUUAUUAUUAUUACCAAUUAUAUUGAGAUAACAAAAUAAAGAAUAAAAUUUAAUAAUAUAAAAUAUUUAUUUUAGUUAUCAAUAAUUAUAUGUACAUAAUAAAAAUAUUUUAAAUACAUGUCUGUAAAUGUGUAAAUAAAUUUUAUUUAGCAUUAUGUCCAAUUUAGUUAUUUACAUUCUUGGACCAGUUUAACAAUAAAAUUUAUGAAAUAUAUACGACUGCUUUUAAAACUAAAAGUACUUUUAAAAAUAAAUUUUACUAAAUGUUCAGCUGAUUCUCUUCACGAUUGAUCAAUUUCUACAACAUAGCUAACUGUAAUUAUUUUAAAAUUACAGGAUUACCAAAAUGACCCUAAAUCAAACCAAUAAAAAUGUCUAAAAGUAACAAUAAAAAACCAAAGCAAACGUACAAAAAUUCAUGCAUAAAUUGAUAAUCAACAAAAACAUCCAAAAGUUCAACUCCAAGUUUUCUGUUCAAUUGACAUAACCCUUAAAUUUCAAAAGGCAUAAUCAAUUUUGUGUCUAAUCGUAUAAAAUUAGAAAAUUAAAGAAUAUUAUAUACUGAUAAUUAAAUAAUAUGCAAUUAAUAAUGUUAAAAAAAUAAUGUCAAACAUAUUGUCAACUAAAAUAAUUGGGAGAAUUGGAGUUCCAAGAUAAAUUCUUAUCUAGUCCCAAAUCAACAAUUGGAAUUAAUUUCAAUCUUAAACUCUGACUGCCUUUAAAAUUGGUCCUAAUAAUAUGGACAAAUCCCAUUCUGAUCAGUAUGGAAUUCCAACCCCAUAUCUUUGGGUCUCGAUGGUGUUUAGUUGGAGGGAUGAGACGGGAAGGAAAUGAAUUCAAAUUCCUUUCACUUUUCUGUUGUUUGGUUUUCACUAAUAUAUGGGAAUUCAAUUUCUAUUGAAAUUUAAUUUUCAUCAAAUUGUGCAUUUUGGAUUCCUCACCGAAGGUUGUAAAAUUCAAAUGCCCCUCCUAUUAGAAAUCGAGUCAUCCAAAAUUGCUCCUCUCAAAUAUUUAUCAAUUAUUUUAAUUCUUAUCAAAUAAUUCUUAUUUAUGAUUUUAUUUUUUCAAUUUAAAUUGUCACUAAGGAUUCUUGACUUACUACCGUAGAAAAGCAAAAAUACAAUUUAUAGAUUAUGAUAAUUCUAUGUAUUGUAUGAGAAUUGCAAUCCAAAAAUUUUCCCUACUAAACGAUUUUCAAUCGACAGCAAAUACAUGCUUUCAAAUUUAGUCAGCUGAACUAAUUUUUGUUUUUUUGGAUUAAUUUUGAAAUGUUGCAUCCAUAACGAGCUGCCAUUGAAAUUAAUGUUAACAACAAAAGUAGAAGCAAAAGGAGAAACAAGCGUCAUGUGCAGUACCCACUGUGAACUACUCACAUUGGAAUAAGUUGUUGGCAGCUGGUCUGUUUGGCCAUUAAUAUUUUGACUAUUCAGUGUUGAUUUUGAUUCCACUAAAUUAAGCCAUCAAAAAUUGCUGGGAAGGGAGUAAUAUCUAUUCAUAAUUGGAAAUACUCACCGUACAAUGAAGGUUAGAGCUGCAUGUAUCAUUUAUUAUUAACAACUAACUUAUGAAAUGCUUUGAAUGUACCUCCUAGGUCGUAUUUACUAUACUGGUUAGGAGAAACUACAACAUUAAAUUAUUUGAUAAAUACUUAUUAUAAUUUUAAAAAUAUAUUAAUUUUAUCCUUAACUUUAUGAUAAAAAAUUUAAAAUAUAUAUAAAUCAUUCAUUUUAUAAUCUUGAACUUUAUUAAAGUUUCAAAAACUAUUACUCUAUAUGAUAUAAUAGUGUGAUGUUAUUACACUAUUAUACCAUAUAAAAUAUAUUUGCUUUCUUAAAUUUUAAUAAAGUCUAGGUUUUGGAGAGAAGCACUUUAUAUAUAUGUAUAUAUAAUGAUUCUCCAGUGACGACAUCCUCAUUUUAACAAAGUGAUGAUAUCGCUAACAAACUAAAUAACACACAUUUCAAUACACCAAUAGAUUAAAAAAAUCCAGUUCUUAAUGUGUUAAAAUAUAUGUCUUUUGUAUAUUAUUGAUAUUUUCACUUUAACAAAGUGAGAGUCUCCUCACUAUAGAAGUACUUUAUAAAUAUUCUUUGUAUUUUUGUGAAAAUUAUUAUUUAAAAGUCAUAUCUUACCAAAGACUAAUAGUUUUUAUUUUAUCAUUACGCCGUACUUUUCAAGACAGAACACCUCAAUACCAUGACCUUAAUUUUUGAACUCUGCUGUACAAAGUUGUUGGUUGGUCUAUUUACUUUAGUGUUUCAAUUAUUUGUCGUUUGAACUGAGAUGAUCCGAAUAAAGCUAUAUAUCAAUAAUUUCCUAGUGAAACUUCGGGAAAAAAUAAAAAUCCUCUCAUACAGUAGCAUUAUUUUAAUUCUCAGCUUGAUUAUGUUUUGAGUUAACUUAUAGAUUAUUUGAAAUAAAAAGAAUAUAAUUUAUUUUUUCUAACUAAAUAUUUUAAAAUAAUUUUGUUAAUUUAAUGAGUACUUAUACACUUACAACGUUAUGAUAUAAAAUUAUAUCCCAGAAUACUGCUAUGUGUUUCUUAGUAAUUAACUUUUUAUACUAUUAUUAAUGAGAUAAUUAACUUCAACACCAAUAAACAAAUUUUAUAUUAAUACAUCCUCUAGCUUUAUUAUCAAAUAAUCAUAUGUCAUAAUCAAAGCAAGCUACCAGAGCCUACCACUAAAAGAUUUAUUGAAGGGUUUUCCAAGUUUGAAAAUGUUAGUAGCAUUGGCAAAUGGCAACUUCCAGGAAUCUUCCGAUCAAAAUAGUUGAAUCAACUAUUCAAUGAAAUACGCAAAUGGCACAAAGGACCCCCACCACCCAUUAAGUCACGUCAUUUAUUUAUUUGUAAAAGAAAAAUAAGGUUCCGAUCGGAAGAAAUCAGCACCUUAUAAUGCAUGAUUACUCGUAUGUCAAGUUUACCGAUUAUAAGUCAUCAUCACAAUAACUUUGGACUUUAAUAUUUAAGUCUCUGUUUGGGACCAAUGUAUGGCAGUUGGACAACACAUCACUCAAUUAUAGAGUGUGAAAUAUUGAUAUUGUUCUUAUUAUUUUAUGUAAUGUAUAAACGUUUCCUUUUAUUUUUGUUUGAUUAUUUAUUUUUUAUACUUAAUAAAUAUAAAUUUAUUUUUUUAAUAUUUAACAAAUAGUCACGGCUAGACAAUAUUGUCAGAUAUUACAAACGAUGACCCAAAUCCUUUUAUCUCACAGAAAUAAUUUAAAUUCACAACAACUAUGACGUUACAUUAUCAAAUAAACACUAAAUACUUUGAUGAUUAUAGUUUAUCUUUCAUUCAUAGCAUGAAGAGUUUGAAAUAUGAUCUCAAAACAAAGAGUACGACAUGUCAUGUUCGGUUUUCAGAAGAAGUGUACGCCAUGUCAUCCGAAAACUAAAAGGCACGUAUGACAACCAGACGCUGUCAUCUCUGAUUUGCUUACACUUUAAGGAUGAAUUCUGGGUUUUGAGUGACAAUUAAAAGCUAGAGUGAGAAUUAGAGAGACAGUUAUAUAUUCUUAUUUAUUCCUAGCACUUGCUAUAUUGUGUAGGUCUUUUGUGACUCCAAUAAUAAAAACGCUCAUAUUAUUUUUUAUAGAGCAAUAUUUGUUAAAGCAUGAAGAACGGCAGAAAUAUUGUAAAUCCAUCUCAACUUUUUUGUUUAUUGUGGUCGUUGAUAGCGCUAGCUGUUUUCUUAUUUAACUUUGUUCCCUUUUGCCAUCAGCUCUUAGCAUUUUCAUUGGAUCAAGCGACCAUUUUCUUGCUUCAAUUUCUGAUCUCAAAAGCACUUUGACUCUCUUCAGUUACACUGAUUUUCUCCUUGUUUUGUACACAUAUCUUUUCUCUUUCCCAUUUAGCUUUGAUUUGCUUCUACUUGACUAUCAAUUGCCCAGUCGUUGAACCUGUUGUAUUUUUAUUUUGUUCACUUCAAAUAGACCAAAAAAAACAAAUGUUGGAUAAAAGCCAAAAAUCUAAUUUGAUUUUUAAUAUGAUUUAGCUAAGAUGUCCAAUUUAAUGCUAAGAGUAAUGUUAAGGAUCCCAAUAAUUGAAUCUCAACUGAUAUGAUAGUCAUUUAUUAGAUGAUCGAAAUAUUAAUUUUACUAAUUAUGAAAUUCAUUAUCUAAUAAAAUAAUGACACAUAACAAUUGGGUCUCAAGUUAGAAUUCUACUAUUGAAAUUCCUAACAUUAUUCUAAUAUUAAAAAUUCAUCAAAAUAAUAUCUAUUAUCUAAAAAAAUAAAAUAAAAAUCUAAAACCAUAAAUUUACUCUUCGAUCUUCGUGAUUUGACUGAUUUCUUUAUAUUUUUAUCGGUCAUUUUAUUGGUACUGGUUUGAUUUUCUGACUAAGCUACUGUUUAGUUCUAAGUUUUGGCAAUUACCCGGACUGCUCUGUUUUGUGUAUCAUCGACACAAUAAGGCUUAGCAUUUAAAAGUCGGCAGCCACGCAACUUCUUGGAAUCUUCGUGCAAGUGUUGGAUAUCGACUGUUCGAUAAUGAUGGCAGCAUUUGACUGGAGUGUAAUUGACGCAGUGGAAUAAGGAUCACAUGUCUCAAACUUUUGGUGAAGAUAUUGUCAGAUAUUUUAUUGAUCAAGUAAGGAUCACAAAUAAUGGAUAUUGGAUGAGGAUCACAUGUUUUAUGGGACUUAACUAUGUUGCAACAGUGAUACUAUACCAUUGUUUUUGUCAUUAUUCAUCGCGGCCAUUGGAUGGUAACUUAUUUAAUCUAAUGGUUUAAAUUAGUUAAUGGAGAAAUGACGCGGCAACUUACAACCCUUGCAGCCGGUUCUGUAUUGAUCUAAUAGCAUGGAGUAGUAAGCGUGCGUUCCAGAACCUUGUCACUGAUCAUGAAGAACAUUGAUCCAAUAGCAUGGAGUAGUAAGCGUGCGUUUCAAAGAUGCUAAGAUACACCAAAUCCCACUAUUUCCAUACUCAUAAAAACAAAAAGCCACGGCAAAAUGAAUGACUAUAUAAAAUAAAAUAGGUCAUAGGACAUUGAGAUUAAGGCAACAUGAUUUGUAUACCAUAAAAUAACUAUAUCUGCAUAGUCAAUUAUAUUUCUGUUAGAACUCUAAAGUUUUCCAUUAAAUUUUUUUCCCUCUUAUGUAAACCAUUUAACUGAAACGCUUAAGCCAAUAUUAAAAAUCAUAGACAUACAAGUAUUAAUAGGCUCGUUCAAGUGAAAUGAGCAUUAUUUAUUUAGGUUUUUAAGUCAUUUAGAAGUCAUUCAUGUUAAAAAAUUUCUUCAUAUACUUUCAUUAUAAUUAGUACAUACACAAUUAUUUAAAUAAAUAAAUCUGUUUCAGCUAGUACAGGAAAUUAAUUAAUCAAAGCUAGUAGUUAUAGCUAGGAUCUGAAUUACAGAGUUCAAGAGGAGCAUCUGAACAGAAUGAAAGUCCUUUAUAGAAAUGGUAAUGUCGCUUUACCAUUUAGAUAUCUUCUAGAAAGUACUUACAUCACGCAAUUAGGGACCGAUAUUUAAUGACAAUAACAAUCCAAAAGAUUGGGAGGGCCAACUAAAGGAAUAAAUCACUCAACCAAACCCUUAGGGACAGAUAGUUAAUGACAAUAAUAAAAGAUCCAUUCCUAUGCAUACGAGCUUAGUCUAUUAUGUUAAAGAGGCACCCUGUUGUUCGAUAGUCAGCACAACAAGUGAUCAAUGAGGUUGUUGCACAGACUGAUGACAUGGAAUUACGGCUCAGCCCAAGUGGUUCUGUGAUCUGUAGUAGACAAGCUGAGUAGUGGGAUUGGUUAGCUUGAUUUGCUGUGAAUAGUAGCUUAGUUAACAAGUUUGUUAGAUUACUGCAUAUAAAGCAAGCGAACUCUCUGUGUAUUCAUACUGUGAAGUAAAUCAAUCGAUUCAUUUUCUCUCAAAUCUCAAUGGUACUUUCUCUAUUUAAAUUUUAAAAUACCUUUAAUUAGGAUUAAUUAGAUUUUUCGCUUAUUAGGAUAAAAGCGAGAAAAAAGCACAACUACAAAAUUUGAUUGCAAAGUGUAAACCUACAAUUUUUUUGGGUAAAACAUGGAUAGUAAAACAUACAAUUAAAGAAGGAGAUAAAAAGCGUUUAUAUUUCACCUGAUUAGUUUCAGAAUUUGAGUGGUCUCAUCCCCACCAGCCAUUGAAUCGUUGAUAUGAUCACAUGCAUUGUUUUUAGAGGCACACAGGAGAGGUCUAUUUAGCACAACUAGCGUGACAAACGUUUUGCUGCACUCGUAGCAGACACUUGUACGACCGAUCGGGAUGGGUGAUUUCUGUUUUGCAACAACUUUCUGAAAAGUUAUGAAUGAUCACCUUCAACUUUUUUGGCAUCUUCUCUUCCCUGGCAUAAAUUAUAUGUGUUAUGAAUGAAGCACCCUUCAGAGUUCAAGAGGAGCAUCUGAACAGAAUGAAAUCACUUUGUAGAAAUGGUAAUGAUGCUUUACAUCUACAUGCUCUUACACAAUAUGAACUUUCAUUUAUUCAAGAACAUAACACUACCCCAAGCUCUUAUUCUACAAGUCAAUUCAGUUUGUAGAUGCACGCCAUUGUAAAAACUUUUGUAUUAUAAUUUCUGAAAAUAGAACGUAACAUUAUUAAUAUAGAAUCAGCAAUGUAUAUAACUUAUCAGACAAUAUAACAAGCACUUGGUGAGCAUACAAGAUAAACUAAAACAAGCUUUAAACAUAAAAUUAAAGUAAAUCGAAUUGCAAAACAUUAGAAUGGAUGUUGGAAUUAAAGCUAAAUUCAAUAGUAAUUCAAAUGAAUCCAUUUGAACUUUGUAAAUUCCGCAGAACAAAAUUAAUUUGAGAGAGCAAACUCACCAAUGGAACAAGAACACAGGGGCUUCAACUUGUAGGAAUAAAAAAAUAUUGCUGGCCGGACAAAAAUUGACAAUAACGGCUACAAUACGAAUUAAAAAAAAAAUCAAAAUCUAUAAUUACAAGCUAAGUGCGAGAAGAAACUCAUAAUCACAAGCUUAACUCAAAAGAUGAAGGGAGAAUACGAUGAAGAAGAGGAUGGCCAGUGUUUUACGCCGUUCGCCGGCAACCAGUUAGGUUUACGAUGGUGGCUAGUAACACGGAGUCCAGCGAAUAGUAGCAUACCGAACGGCUCUUUACCGUCACGUGGUUAGUAACAUAUGUGACUGCAGUGUGGCCGUCACAUAAAAGGUAUCGGGGUUACAAAGUUAGUGAUAUACGUAAUGGCUGCUUUUGCAUUCACAUUAGGGGUCACAUAUACCCUAUUUUCUUGUAGUACAUGGUAAAUUCUAUUUGAAAAUUGCUAAGUAUUUUAGAUUUGUACGAAUUCAUUUUUGUGUGCUCGUUGGAUAAUAAUUUAUAAUAAAUUAAAUUUUUGGUGUAAUUUUCACAAUAUUGUAUCAUAAAUAUGUCUCGUUGAGAGGUUUUGAAAUCGUUUUGAUUGAUCAUAAUUGAUAUUUCCACAAUUGCAAAAGAUGCCAGAGAAAAUUUGAUUAUCUUAAGAAAUGAGUGUACGAGAUAUGAAAUCAACCAUACCAUAAAAUCAAAUUUUAUCGUGUCAUCCUUCCUAUUUCAAAUUUAUGGAAACAAUAAUCAAAUGCAUCCAUGAAUUAAUAUAUUUCGACAUAUAUACCAUCAAAUUUUUGCUAUGUCAUGCUUACAUAUAUAUAUAUAUAUAUAUAUAUAUAUAUAUAUAUAUAUAUAUAUAUAUAUUGAAAUUUUAUUAACACCAAUUGGGCCAAGCAUGUGUUGGUACUUGAACAUUUAUAAGUCCCAUCCUUGAAAAAAUAAGGCUUGGCUGUUCUCAAUCUAAUUCUUUUUGUUUUAAGUUCUUAAUUAAGCUUUCUUGCUUGUUUUCAAGGGCCAGUUUUGUAAUGAUCUGCAAACAUGAUUUGCAUAUAUUGCACUUGGCAUCUAUGCGUCACUUAUUAAUUAGAUUUAAAUUUUAUAAAUUAAUUAAGCUGAUUAAUACUUUAUAUGUGCACCAAAUGAUAGAUACUACAUAAAUUGGGAUACUAGUAACUACGUAUCCCAACUAUUUAAUAUUUGUUUGUCGCAAAUCCAAUCAUGGCCUGAUAUCCUAAAUAUUAUUUAGGAUACCAUUUCAAGCCCCAUGAGGGCUCUUUCUGUUUUUUUUUUUUUUAAAGUAUGAAAUAGAUGUAGAUUUUUCUUUAGAUAUUAUUAGUGAGAGUACCUUUGGUGGCAAUGGUCCAGCAUGAUUUGGGAUUUGACAAUUCCACUCUCAUCUUAAUUAUCAAAUGGAAUGUAAGUAUCGAUAAACUCGUCCAGUUUAUAUAUUUGUGAUCAAAAUUAGGACCAAUCUCAAACCACUCGCAAUCAUGUCCCAUCCUAACUAUCCUGAAUGUCUCGAAUGCCUCCCUUAAUUAUCAUUUUAAUUCUCGUUAACAUAUUAGCAAAAUUUCCAUAUAUUAAAAAUAUUAGGGUCCGACUAUCUAUACUUUAAAAAUUAUUAUGCACAAUCAAUUAUUUAUGCACUCAUCUAAUAAAUUUAAAAAAUUAAGUUUUACUUUCUACACUUUUUAAAAUAACAAAAACAUCUUUACGUGAACCUAAUAAGUUUCUUGAAAAAAAUUAAAUCAAUUAUUUUUAUUUAUUCAAAAUACUAAUAAAACUAUUCAGGAAAAUUUUUAAGAAAUUUAGCAUAUACAACAUUGAAAUCAAUUUAUGUUUCAAGUAAAUUCUUUAACACGAUUUUAGUUAUUACUUAUUGUUUAUUAAAGUAUGUGUUCACUAUUGUUUUUAAUUUUUUUUUUAAUCAAAAAAGAAGAAGAAGAAGAAGAAGAUGUUUGUGGUUUAAGAUACAUUUAAUUUUUAGUGUAACAGUUGUAUCAAACCAAUAAAAACUAAAAGAUCCAAAAGUCACAAGUUCCAAUACCACCCAAAUGAAAGGCCCCGUUAGGAUUGUUUUUGGGAAGUUCAAAAGUAAUUCUAAAAAUUAAAAACUAAUUUUUAGUGUUUUAUAAAUUUUUUUUGUAAUUACUUUUGGCAAAAUCAUCUCAUCGUACAAUAGAUUUUGUAAAAGUAGGGAAUGAAAAGUUUUUUUAAAUCUAAUUUUGAGAAUCACUUUUAUAUUUAAUCAAAUUCUAUAUAGAUAUCCUCAUUAUAUAAUAAAAAUCUAAAAUUAUCUUUAUUAAUUAAGAAAUAAAAUCAUUAACUUUAAAGAUAUUGUUAUUAUUACCAAUUAUAUUGAGAUAACAAAAUAGAGAAUAAAAUUUAAUAAUAUAAAAUAUUUAUUUUAGUUAUCAAUAAUUAUAUGUAAGUAAUAAAAAUAUUUUAUAUACAUGUUUGUAAAUGUGUAAAUACAAUUCAGUCAUUUACAUUAUUGUAUCAGUUUAACAAUAAAAUUUAUGAAACACAUACGAUAGCUUUUAAAACUAAAAGUACUUUUAAAAAUAAAUUUUACUAAAUGUUUAGCUGAUUCUCUUCACAAUUGAUCAAUUUCUACAACAUAACGAACUGUAAUUAUUUUAAAAGGUACAGGAUUACCAAACUGACCCUAAACCAAACCAAGAAAAAUGUUUAAAAGUAAUAAUAAUAAACCAAAGUAAACGUACAAAAAUUCAUGCAUAAAUUGAUAAUCAACAAAAACAUCCAAAAGUUUUACUCCAAGUUUUCUAUUCAAUUGACAUAACACUUAAAUUUGAAAAGGCAUAAUCAAUUUUGUGUCUAAUCCUAUAAAAUUAGAAAAUUAAAGAAUAUUAUAUUCUUAUAAUUAAAUAAUAUGCAAUUAAUAAUGUUAAAACAUAUUGUGAACUAAAAUGAUUGGGAGAAUUGGAGUUCUAAGAUAAAUUCCUAUCUAAUCCCAAAUCAACAAUUGUGAUUAAUUUCAAUCUUAUACUCCGAUUGCUUUUAAAAUUGGUCCUAAUAAUAUGGACAAAUAUCAUUCUGAUCAGUAUGGAAUCCCAAUCCCAUACCUUUGGAUUUCAAUGGUGUUUAGUUGGAGGGAGGAGAGGGGAAGAAAAUGAAUUCAAAUUCCUUUCACUUUUCUGUUGUUUGGUUUUCACAAAUAUAUGGGAAUUCAAUUUUUAUUGAAAUUUAAUUUUCGUCAAAUUGUGCAUUUUGGAUUCCUCACCGAAGGCUGUAAAAUUCAAAUUCUCCUCCUAUUAGAAAUCAAAUCUUCCAAAAUUGCUCCUCUCAAAUAUUUAUCAAUUAUUUUAAUUCUUAUCAAAUAAUUCUUAUUUAUGAUUUUAUUUUUUCAAUUUAAAUUGUCACCAAGGAGUCUGACUUACUACCAUAGAAAAGCAAAAAAUACAAUUUAUAGAUUAUGAUAAUUCUAUGUAUUGUAUGAGAAUUGCAAUCCAAAAAUUUUCCCUAGAAAACGAAUUUUAAUCGACAGCAAAUCAAUGCUUUCAAAUUUAGUCAGCUGAACUAAUUUUUGUUUUUUUUUGGAUUAAUUUUGAAAUGUUGCAUCCAUAACGAGCUGCUAUUGAAAUUAAUGUUAACAACAAAAAUAGAUGCAAAAGGAGAAACAAGCAUCAUGUGCAGUACCCACUGUGAUCUACUCACAUUGGAAUAAGCCGUUGGCAGCUGGUCUGUUUGGCCAUUAAUAUCUAUUUAUAACUAGGUUUUUUUUUUUUUUUUUGAGAAGAUUUAUAACUGGAAAUUACUCACCGUAAAAUGAUGAAAUGCUUUGAAUAUACCUCCUAGGUCGUAUUUACUAUACUAGUUAGGAAAAAUUACAAUGUUAAAUUAUUUGAUAAAUACUUAUUAUAAUUUGAAAAAUAUGUUAAUUUUGUCCUCCACUGUAUGAUUAAUAAUUUAUAAUAUAUAUAUAUAUAUAUAAUUCAUUCUAUAAUCUUGAACUUUAUUAAAGAUAAAAAAACUAUUACUCUAUAUGAUAUAAUAGUGUGAUGUAAUUACACUACUAUACCAUAUAAAAUAUAUUUACUUUCUUAAAUUUUAAUAAAGUCCAGGUUUUAGGGAGAACCACUUUAUAUAUAUGUAUAUAUAACGAUUCUCUAGUAACGACAUUUUCAUUUUAACAAAAUAAUAAUAUCACUAACAAACUAAAUGACACACAUUUUAAUACAUCAAUAGAUAAAAAAAAUACAGUUUUAUUGUGUUAAAAUAUAUGUCUUUUGUAUAUUAUUGAUAUUUUCACUUUAACAAGUGAAGGUCUCCUCACUAUAGAAGUACUUUAUAAAUAUUUUUUGUAUUUUUAUGAAAAUUAUUAUUUAAAACUGUUUUGUGUAUCUUCGACACAAUAAGGCUUAGCAUUUAAAAGUCAGCAGCCACGCAACUUCUUGAAAUCUUCGUGCAAGUGUUGGAUAUCGACUGUUCGAUAAUGAUGGCAGCAUUGGACUGGACUGUAAUUGACACAAUAAAAUUAGGAUCACAAAUAAGGAUGAAACUAUGUUGCAACAAUUGUAGCAUGCCACUAGAUUUUAUCUUUUUUUUUAAUUAAUUACACUGCACUACCUUAUAUUUUAUGAAAAAAUUGAAUAGACAUUAAAAGUUACAAAAUUUUAUAUAUAAAUCCCUUUUUUUGGGAUAAAAUGGCUUUUCAAAAACAUUUGACUGUUAUUAUUAGUAUUAUUUAUUAAUAUCAUUAUUAUUAUAUUAAUAAGAAUAAUAAUAAUAAUAAUAUUAUCAAAAUUUAUUAUUUUAAUUAUUAUGAUUAUUUUUAAUUAAGUCAUUAUUAUUAUUUAUUAAUUUUAUUACUGUCAUUAAUAUUAAUUUUAUUACUAUUGUUAAAAUAUAUUAAUUUUAUUAUUUUAAUUAAUGUUAAUUAUUGUUAUUAUUAUUUUAUUAAUAUUAAUAUCAUUAAAAUUUAUUUGUUUUAUUAUUUUAAUUGUUAUGUUAUUAUUAAUGUCAUCAACAUCAUCAUCAUCAUCUUUAAACUUUAUAGAUUUUUUUGUUUAAAGUAAUACUAUUGUUAUUAUUAUUAUUUUACCUUAAUUGAACAUUAAAUAUAUUUUUAUUUUUAUUAUAAUAAAUAAAAAUAUAAAAUAAAUUAUACUAUCAUAUUAUUUUAUUAUAUCAUAUUAUAUUUAUAUAAAAUAAUUAAUAUAAAAAUAAUAAUUUAAUAUAAUUAAUAAUAAAUUUAAAUAAUGUUAGUAUAAUAUUAAUAUAAAAUUAAUGCAGUACAAUGUAAUACCAAUUACCAAAUGUUGUACAAAUAUUAUUAUAAUUUAUUACUAAUGUAAUAUAACAUAAUACAAUAUACCUUUAUUGAAUAAUGAAAUACAGUAUAGUAUAAUACAAUAUGUGAAAUGGACCCUUAAUUCUUUGAGUGAUGAUAGUUUAAAGGGAUGUAGAGAAAGUAAAAAUAAUCAUGGUAGAGUCUUUUGCAGUGGUUGAUUAGCCAUCAUCAAAAAAUUUAAGGUAACAUAAUAAAAAUUAAGCAAUCACCCUACAUUUAAAAGAGUAAUUAGAAACCAAUAAAUUUACUAUUCAAUUAUUUUUAAUCAAGAAUAAAUAAUAAAUUAUCAUUACAGCAAGAUUCACAAGCUCAAAUAUCUAUAAAAAAAAGUUAUAAUUCUCAAGAAACAUAAAACUCAAAUGCUUUUGAAGUAUUCUUAAAAAAAUUAAACUAACUUCCUUUUAUGCUAUUCUUUAUUUAUAUGACUUUGUUGGGCUACAUUUAAAAUUUUAAAAAAUUAAAAUGGUUUCCUUAAAUUUCAAGAGUAAUAUUAGUAUUUUAUAGGUAAAUUAACAUAUUUUAUAUACAAAUAAACUAACAUGUCAACUAAUAUUAAAAACAAAAAUGUAAUAAAAAAGUAAAGUUUUGUAAUAUUAAAAUAAUAAAAUUUUAGAACCUAAUACUUUUUACAGUUCCUUAUUUUGAAAUUUCACCUUUUUUAUUUUAUAAUUUUUUGAAGUAUUACAAGGUUAAUAACCUAUAUUCUUUACACAUAUUUAGUUUAUUUAUUCUAUAUUAAAUAUAAUGGGUCCGCCUACCUUGCAACAGUUGCACGGUACCCCAAAUUUUAUAUUUUUCUAAUUCAGCUGAUGAAUCUAAUAUCUAAAGUGUUCAACGGUCAAGGCCGGCUCAACCAUAUUUGGGGCCCUAGGCAAAUGAUUUUAAUUAAUUCUUAUAAAAAAUUAGGGUAAUCUAUGAAAUUUUAAUUCAAUUAUAACAUUUUUACUUAUUGUUCUUUAACUCAAAUUACAUCUUUUUUACUACUCCUUUUCUAGAUUAAACUAAUUUUUCUAUUUUAUAAAGUUUUUCGAUAUAGUUUUAUUUCAAAAUAGAUAAAACAAGCAUACAAAAAAAAAGAGUAGAUGAAUAAAAGAAUAUAUUGAAAAAAAUAAGAAUAAAUAAAUAAAUAACACAACUAAUUAAGAGAAUAAUAAAAAGAUAAAAUCUGGAAUUUGAGAUGAAAUCAUGAAUUAACUUUAUCUUUAUAUUAAUUGUUUGUGGAUUUGAGUAAUGACCAAUAGCCAUAGAGAAUAGAGAAAAUUAUUAGAUUUUUUUCUUCUUCUUGAGUGGAAAGUAGAGGAAGCAUGAUUUUUUCCCUCUCUCUCUUUCUUUCUCUCAAACACUAACAACAUAUCGUGUCUUGAUUAUUGGAGGAAAAAUUUAAUAGAUAAGUAAUAAAAUAUGGGGUUUUUAUAGAGGUUUAAAAUGAAUAUAAUACUUUUUAAUUAUAACAUAUUAAUUCUAACAAUUAAAUAGAGAAUUUGUAGGAUUGAAACUAUUAAUUUAUUGGUUUUGUAGGAAUUAAAACUACUAAGUACUACAUUAAAUAAACUUUAUAGAAAUUUGAUAGUUUAUUUAGGAAAAAGAUAAUUACAAAAUAAUAACAAAUUAAAUGCAUAAUAAUGACUUUUAAAUUCACUUUUCCCUUUUAUAUACAAAAUAAUCAUCUUACGGGGCCUUAAUGUAAAGUGGGGCUCCAGACAACCGCUUAAGUUGCCUAGAGGUCGAGCUGCUACUGUCAACGGUUGAGAUGUGUUCAAUUGGUUAUUAACACUUAAGUCUCUACUGUUUAUUAUAAUAUCAUAAAAACAAAAUUUUUAAAAUAUUUAUUUAUAUAACUCCUAUUGUUUUAAGUUUUUUAAAGUUUGAUCCAUUAGCCAAGCUUGAUCAUAAAAAUGAUUGAUGGUGUAAAGAUAAUAAUGUAAUAUCACAUAAAAUUUUUUUUAAACACAUGAAAAAUUGAUAAAUGUAAAUAUUGUUUUUUUUGGUUAUAUAAUAUAUUAACUUUAUUAUUUUAAUUAAUGUUAAUUAUUGUUUUUAUUAUUUUAUUAAUAAUAAUAACAACUAAUUUGUAUUUUACUUUUAAGGUUGAUUUGAUAAAUUUAAAUUUUUCUUUACAUUAACAUAUCUAAGAAUAUUGUUGCAAGCAUGUUAUUAUAAAAUCAAAGAAAAAUUAAGGGUAGGAUUAUAUUGUGCUUACCGACAAAGGUGUCUUGAGGGACUAAACGGUACUUCAUUCAAAAUAUAGAGACUGAACAAAUAUUUAUCAUUAUUUAAGCUGAAAUAGUGCAUUUUAACUAGUCCCGGGUUUGAUUCAUUGUAAAUAUCAUUUUCCUUCAUGAAAUACCUAUAGAGAAUCAUAAAUUUUGGAGAAAAGGACGUUACACCUAAGUUUUGGGAAAUAGUCAUGUAGACCCCUAAAUUUUUAAUAAGGAAUACGAAUACCUCUUUUGACUAUAAUACAUUUUGACUCUAUUAACUCAAAAAAUUGACUCCUAUGUUUUAUAAUAAAUAGAAAUAUAAUAUUGAAAUAAACAUAAAAUAUUAACAUUUUAAAACAACUUCAAUUUAGGAAAAUAUUUAUAUACUUAAGAAUCUUAUAUUAUAUUAGACUAAAUUUUAUAAUAAAUAAGAACAUAAUAUUAAAAUAAAUUUUAUAAAUUUUUUCAAUAUUAUAUAAAAUAAUUUCAAUAUUAUUACUACAUGAGAUAUAUUUUAUUAAUGAGAUGUGUUUUAUUAAUUUUAAAUUCUAUUUAACCCCAAUGAUUUAUUUGAUAUUUUUAUGAUAAAUAAAAUAUAUUAUUAAAAUAAAUAUAAUGUUUUUAUUUAAAAAAUAUUUUAUAUAUUAAAAAUAUUCUAAUAUUAUUAGUCUAUUAGACAGAUUAAACUAUUUAAGUUAUAUUUAUAUUUAUUAAAAAAUUCUUAAAGUCAUUUUUUUAUUUACUAUGUACAAAAAGUAUUAUAGUCAAAAAGAUAUUUUGGUUACUGAAAAUUGAAAGAUUUACGUGACCAUUUCUUUAAAUCUUGGAGUAUAGGUGUCUUUUCCUAUAGAUAUUAGAAUAAGGGCUACAUGUCUAUAUGUAAAUAGCAAGUAGUGGCGGACCUACAGUUGGACUAGACUGGGUUGUAGCUUGGUCUAGUACAGAAAAAAUCAUUUAUACACCUUGUUUUCUUAUAAUUUUUUUAUAAAAAAGAGUUUUUAUUUUGUUUUCAUAUAUGUCCCUAACUCAAGUAUCCUUAUGUUUUCAUCAAUUUAGUUUAACAAUAGAGUUUUUACUUUAUAUUCAAAUAUUUUCCUAACUCAAUUACCCUUAUAUUUUCAUCAAUUUAGUAUAACAAUUGAGCUAUUAUUUUAUAUUCAAAUAUAUCCCUAAUUCAAUUGUAUUGUUUCCAAUUGAAAUUAGUGACUUAUUUUAUAAAUUGAUUAAAUUAUAUACUCAUUGGAUAGAUUGAAAACAUUAGGGAGCUAAAGUAUUAUUAUCAAUUUAAUUUAUUUUAAAAAAUUUCUAAUUGAAAAAAAUAUAAAUCAAUGUAAUAUAACAUCGUCACUAGCAUUAAAAAUACUUACGAAAACAAUAUAUAGUAACAAUUAUCAACAUUUUCAUAAACAUUUUAUGUGAUUUUUUAGAUUCUAUUUAUUAGUUACAUUAACUACGACAAGAAGUUAGAAUAUAAAAUUUAGGUAUUUUGAGGAGCUUUAAUAGAAGAAUCAUCAACAUCUACUUCUAUAAAGAAAGUCAGUGCACUGGCAAUGAAACAACGAUAUCCAAAUAACUUUUUGUUGAAUUGAGUUUAGUUUAUUACUAAAACUUUUGACUAAUAAUACUUUUAUAAUUCGAAAGAAUGAAUGAAUUUUAAUUUUUAAAUUUAUUUAAACUUGGUAAUUUAAUACUUGACUUCAAACAUAAAAGUUUUACUUGUAAUCUUUAAUUAAUUUUAAUUACAUGUACUGAUCUAAUUUAGUUUGAAAUUCUUAAUUGAUUUAUUAAUCCUUAUAUAAUUACAUGUUAUUAUAGUUGCAAUGUCGGAUUCCAUAAUUGAAAAAUAGUGUUUUGAUAUUUGAAUUGCCUUUUGGUUUCUAUUCUUUUCUUAUAAUUAUUUUUGUUUAUAAUACAUAUUCAUAGGGAUAUAGCUCUCCAUGUCUCCCCUCAUUUAAUAUACUUCUUUUUACUUAUAAAUUUUUAUGUUCACUUCAAAAUAUAAAUUUUAAAAUUUAACCCAAAAUAAUAUUAAGUCCUGAAUCCGCACAUAUAGCAAGUUAAGUCACAUCCUUUUAUCUUUUUAUUUUCAUUUUAUAAAUAAAUAAAUAAAUAAUGCAUAUUGAAUUAGGAUCACGCGUCUGAAAUCUUUACGUGAAGAUUUUGUUAAACACCGUGUAAAAAAAUAAUAUGAAUAGUGAAAGCUUAAUAGUAAAAAAAUAAUAUGAAUAGUGCAUUGCGAUCUAUCAAUCGCAAUGCACCGAUGAUUGCAACAAUUAAAAAUCUUGAAAUAUGAUUAUUAUACAAAACGAAAAUGUACAACCACUCAUGAAUUAGAGUUAUUUUUUUUUAGAGAAGAUAAUUCGGGUUUUUAAGAUAGGUUCUUUUUUUAAAAAAAUUAUUAUCCUGAGGAUAUUUGAAUAAUAAUUUUUUAAAUUAAAAAAAUAAAUUUUAAAUAUAUUUUUGUGAGUUUAAAUAACCUCAUUCCCAGCAUAACUACAUGAGCUACGUAGUGCUUAUUUAUUGACAUUAAUAAACUGCAUCAAUUUAUACAAAAUACUGUUUUUCUUCUUCGUUUUUCUUUUUGACAUGUUGUGCUAAUGCUGUUUGUUGGCCUAGAUGGCGAAUAAAAAAUAUGAUAAUAUAUGCUAUCUACAAGCUUAAUUAUGAACGAACAGUUAAUAAUUACCCCAAAGUUCAUAUUUUAUAAUAGGUGUAGAAUCUUUUCACUCUAAUAAGUUUAUCUUCAAUUAUUUAUCACUAGUUUAGUUAAAUAAUGCACGUCAAUGUUGAAUUGACAUCCGCGAAUAUCACCUUUGCACUUUUAAAUCAAAUAAUCAAUGGCCAUCAAAUGAAGCGAAAUAAAUGGUUAAACUAAUUUAUGUUAAAACAAAUUAUUGUUGAAUAGAGUAGUGAUAGAUGAUAUCCCAAAUUUUUGGGUUCCUAAGGAAUAAUCAUUGUCAAAUUAUUAAACCGAACCUUACAUUCAGGAAUGAUAAAGAUUGAAGACCAAUAUCUGCAACAUUAACUCUUGUCAUACAUAAGCAAGAACAAAAAAAAUAAAAAAUCAUUGAAUUAUAUUAAUACAUGAAACAGAAAGGCCAAAAAUUAAACCCAAAUGAAUAUACAGUGAAAGGAAAUCGCAGUUGUAAUGUAACGCAUAUUCACAAAAGCUUUGUUGAUGAAGUCUAGUACUCUAAUGAUACUUUAUAAUGUGGGGGCAGAGCAGUAAAUUUCAAAGAAAUAAUUUUCUCUUUUGAUGUUUUGUCGUUAUUGUUGACUGAGACGAGAAAGAAAUAAUUGCUCGUUUGGAUAUUCUCUAUAUUGUAAAAGAAUUGCUUAUUAGAAUUGCUUAUUAGAAUUGCUUCAAAGCAGUUUUACCAGUUAUAAUUCAUCAGCUCCUACUCUUUGCGUUCAAUUCUCAAUCAAGAAACCCUCUCCUGACUUUCAGCUUUUAACCUCGAACACGCUCUGAUUCUGUUUAUUGUACCCACUGCUAUUGCUAGCUGUUCCCUUAUUUUGCUUUGCUCCCUUCUGCCAUCAGCUCUCUGUAUACUCAUUGGAUCAAGAAGCCCUUUUCAAUUUUCUGAUCUCAACAACACUUUGAUUCUCAUCUAUUACACUGAUUUUUUUUCCUUGUUUUGCUCAAAUACAAUUUCUCUCCCUAAUUUUGUCCCGUUCCCUUUCGCCGCCAUCUGUUUGUUCUUCGCUUCUUCAUUGAUUAACAAUUGUCCAGUCGUUUCACCUGUUCUUUUUCUGUUCCUUUCACUUCAGAUCAAUCCAUCCUCGCACAACCCCCCCCCCCCCCCCCAAAAAAAAAAAAGAAAAAAGAAAAAAGAUUGAAGGUGAUGGAAUGCAUUGUUACUGUCGUUUUAGAGGUUGUAAAAUGCUUGGCUCCUCCAACACAACAACAACUUCGUUAUUUGCGUAGUUCCAAUGCCAACUUUGAGAAUCUCAAGGCUGAAAUCGAGAAUCUUAAGGAUAAAAUUAGGAGCAUUCAGCGCAGAGUCUCAGAGGCUGAAAGAAAAGGAGAAAAGAUUGAAGAGGAGCUUGAGAAAUGGCUGGUUAAUGCGAAUAAGAUCAUUGAGCAUGCAGACAAAUUCAUUGACGACGAGGAGGCAACAAAUAAGCGAUGUCUCAAGGGUCUGUGUCCUAAUCUGAAGACCCGCCAUCAGCUUAGCAAGAAAGCAGAGGCAGAGGUGAAGGCAAUUGUCAAAAUCCGAGAAGAAGCUGGGAGAUUUGACGAUAGAAUUUCCUACCGUACGAUUCCGGAGGAGAUAUGGCUCAAGUCUCACAAAGGCUACGAGGCCUUCGAGUCAAGACUUUCUACCUUGAAGGCCAUACAAAAUGCAUUGAUCGAUGUUAAUGUUAGUGUCGUUGGGGUGUACGGCAUGGGCGGCAUUGGAAAGACGACACUGGUGAAGAAGGUCGCCAGGCAAGCUAUGGAAGAUAAACUCUUUGAUAUGGUGGUCUUUUCAGAGGUUUCGCAAACUCCAGACAUAAAAAAGAUUCAACAGGAAAUUGCCGAGAAGUUGGGCCUGGAGUUGCACGAGGAAGUUGAAUCUGGAAGAGCAAGUAGACUAUUUGAGCUAUUGAGAAAUCACAAGAAGAUCCUUGUCGUUUUAGAUAACAUUUGGAAACACCUUGAUUUGGAGACAGUUGGAAUUCCUUUUGGAGAAGAUCAUAAAGGCUGCAAACUACUGCUGACGGCAAGAGAUCGUAGUGUCCUCUUAAAAAUGGGUUCUAAAGACAACUUUUUGAUAAACAAUUUAAAUGAAGAAGAAGCCUGGAGAUUGUUUAAGAUGAUGGCCGGUGAUGAUGUUGAAAAUCGUGAGUUGAAAUCUACAGCAAUAGACGUCGCCAGGGCAUGUGGAGGUUUGCCCAUUGCCUUGACUACAGUAGCAAAGGCACUGAGAGGCAAGAGUCUGUAUGAAUGGAAGAAUUCCUUGCGAGAACUCCAAACGCCUUCAAUGGUAAACUUCGAAGGGGUAUCUGCAGAGACUUAUUCAAGUAUUGAGCUCAGUUUCAACCAUUUAAAAGGUGAGCAGCUCAAGAAAAUUUUUCUGCUCUGUAGUCUAAUGGAGAGCCAUAUUACUUUGGACUUGUUUAAGUACUCCAUGGGUUUGGGUAUAUUUAAAGGAGUCAAUAAGAUGGAAGAUGCACGAGACAAAUUAUAUGCAUUGGUCCAUGAACUUAGAGACUCUUGUUUGUUGCUUGAGGAUGAUAGCAAUGAACGAUUUUCAAUGCAUGAUGUUGUUUGUGAUGUCGCAAUAUCAAUUGCAUGCCGCCACCAACAUGUGUUUUUGGUGAGAAAUGAUGAGGAUGUGUGGGACUGGCCAGAUGAGGAUGCACUUCGAAAAUGCAAUGCUAUCUCUUUAAUAAAAAAUAGUAAUUGUGAAUUUCCUGAAGGAUUAGAAUGCCCAAACCUUGAACUUUUAUAUAUUUCUCUCAAAGAUUCUUCUCUUGAAAUCAAUAUUCCUGAGAACUUUUUUGUAGGGAUGAAAAAGCUUAGAGUUCUAGAUUUUACUCGAAAGCUGUUUUCUUCAUUUCCAUCUUCAAUUGAUCUUCUAGUAAAUCUUCACACACUAUGUCUGGAUCAAAGUGCGUUGGGGGACAUAGCAAUCAUUGGGAAGUUGAAGAAUCUAGAAGUCCUUAGCUUUUUGAUGUCUGAUAUUAUGCAGUUGCCAGAAGAACUAGGUCAAUUGAAUAAGUUGAGAUUGUUAGAUUUAACCAAUUGUUUCCAUCUAAAAGUUAUUGCGCCCAAUCUCAUAUCAAGCUUAACUCGAUUAGAAGAUCUGUAUAUGGGUAAUUGCUCCAUUGAAUGGGAGGUUGAAAGAGCCAACAGCAAAAGAAGUAAUGCUAGCCUUGACGAAUUGAUGCAUUUACCUCGGCUAACCACUCUAGAAAUUGACGUUAAAAAUGACAGUAUGUUACCAGAAGGUUUUUUGGCCAGAAAGCUCGAAAGGUUCAAAAUAUCUAUUGGAAAUGAGUCAUUCAUGCCUCCCAAGAGUGUUAGACAAGCUUGGUUUAAAAGUCGGCCGCGCUUUUCGAUCCACAGUUAUCGCAAGAGUGUAAGAGCAUUGAAGCUCAAGCUUGAUUUUAUGGACAUUUGCUCCAUGAAAUUGCAGGGCAUCAAUAACGUUGAAUACUUAUGGUUGGACAAGCUGCAAGGCACUGAGAAUGUUCUUUUCAAUUUGGACACGGAGAGCUUUUCACAAUUGAAGCUUCUCUGGGUUCAAAAUAAUCCUGACUUCUUUUGCAUCGCCGAUUCAAGGGCGAUGGUCGCUUGUGAUGCCUAUAGCUUAUUUUUAACUUUGAAAAAUAUGACAAAGCAUCGAUAAAUUAAUACUCAAUAAAUUAAAAACUUUUAUUAUACAAUAAUCUUUGCUAGUCUAGACUAAGGGAUCAAUGUGGUAGAUUAAUAAUUAUAUGAACUGUUUUAGGUAUAGCAUUUCUAAAAGAAUCCUUAGUCUUUCCAUAUAAAAGAACUUACAAAAUAAAUUAGUAAUUUAUUAUUGUGCAAUAAAAUAAUUUCGUUUUUUUCCCUAAUUUCUUUUUUACCUCUAAAAUUAGCAUAUAAAAAAUCAUUUAAUAAAUUUUAUCAAUAAUUCAAUUUUUUUUUUAAAAUAUAAUAUAAAAUAAAUACUAUAAAAUCACUGUGUGUGACCAUAGAUCAUCAAUUGACCUUAUUAGUUAUUUUGAUUGAUGAUGAUAUCUUACCCAACUUGACGGCACUAUCACUAAGUGGAAAAGAUGUGAAGAUGAUUUUGCAGGCCGAUUUCCCACAACACCUUUUUGGCAGUCUUAAACAACUAGAGAUUGUUGGAGAUGACUCAGCUUGUUUUCCAAUCUGGAACGUACUGGAGAGAUUUCACAAUCUCGAAAUACUCAUACCGUUUUUGCAUUCCACGAAGAGGUAUUUUGGAUGGAAGGAUGCUUAGAGAAACAUGUGGGGAAGUUGGCAAUGAUAAAAGAAUUAAAGCUGCACCGGCACUAUCAUCUGAUGCAGCUGUGCAAACAAGACUCCAAACUUGGCCCCAUUUUUCAGUAUCUUGAAAUUCUAAAAGUAUAUAAUUGUCAAAGUCUGUUAAUUCUAUUGCCAUCAUCAUCGGUAUCUUUUGGGAACCUAACAAAACUUGUAGCUUUCGAUUGCAAGAAAUUGAUACACUUAGUAACAUCCUCCACAGCAAAAACUCUGGUGCGACUCGUAACAGUUCAAGUAUAUGGAUGCAGAGCAAUGACAGAGGUGGUAAUAAAUGACAAAGACGGGGUUGAAAAAGAAGAGAUUGUUUUCCGCAAAUUGAAGACGUUGGAUCUGCGUGAUUUAGAUAGCCUCACAAGUUUCUGCUCUGCCAAUUACACCUUCAAAUUCCCAUCUUUGCAAGAUUUGUGGGUGAUUGGUUGUCCCAAGAUGAAGAUUUUCACUACAGGAGAAUCAAUCACGCCUCCAAGAGUAAAUGUCCGGUAUGGAGAGACAGCGGAUCAACGGCGCUGGGCUAAUAAUGAUCUAAACUCAACCAUACAACAAUUACAUGCUGAGAAGGUACGUAUAUACAUGUAUAUACAUCUUUACAAAAUUUGCUUUCUUAAAUACAAUAUAGAUAAGAUAUUUGAUGAAUAAGAAUUUUACUUUCAGCUGUUGGCGGUGCAGUCGGCGAUCUCUACCCAGUACUAAUUUCAUAGGCUUCUUAUGACUUGGGAGUUGUGAAUUUUUAGAAGAAAGCCUCAGCUGGUAAUUAAUUUUUAUUUCAUUUAUUUGAUCUCAUGGCUUGUUUCGCAAUUUCAUCUGAAUUAUUUAGAAUGGGUCAAUCGGCUUACUGUUAAAUUUGGAAUGCAAUUUUAAUGAUUCGUUCAGACUUUUGUGGACAGAUUUUGCAUCAUUGAAUGUCUUCUAGUCUAGUUUAAUUUGAGUAUUUUUUUUCUUUUUUUCUUUUUUUGAGAGUUCCCCUUGUUUUCUAAAAUUUUAUAAUUCCUUGCAUACUUUGUAUGAUAAAAUUUCAUUAAAAGCCUUCAUAUUUUAUAAUUCCUUGAAAACAUCAUUGCUGUUCUGUUAUUUUAGUUUGUUCAUUUAGUUUGGUUUGCUUCACACCUAUCUUUGUUUGGAAACUUUUUUUUAUUUUUUUGAUGAUCUUUCCAAAUGCUCUCCCCUAUGAACACAUAAUUAAGACCAGCUGAAAAUCAUUCAUCGGAUAAAAAAUAAAAAAUAAACAAAAUCUAAUCAGAGCAUUAUGCCUAGAACAAAUCCUUAGACCAUCAAAGCAAAACUCUUCGCUAUGAAAAACUAUAUUGUGGAAAUAUUGUUUGAAAACGUUGGAUACCAAGAAAGGGACUAAUCUGGUCUAGUUUUAUGAGAAGUGCAGAAGAACAGUAUUUUCUCUGUUGUUCCUAUUAAAAUUCUUUACUAUGUGAUUGUAGAAUGUCUGGAUACUGAUGAAGAUUCAGGUAACUCUUCUCCUGUGCAUCAUUUGAAAUAAGUUUUUUUUUUUUUUUUGGUAAUAUCUCCUACUGGGUUAUAGUUCAUACAAAGAGAAAUUCUUAAAUCAAGCCGGAUACUGGUAGAAACAAGUGGGGAAGUAGGCACUGAUAAAAUGGUUAAUCCUGUCCAGACUUAAUCAUUGAAGCAACUCCAAACUGGACUCCAUUUUAAAUAUCUUGACAUUCUAAGACUAUUUUACAAGCAUUUAAGUCUAUUCACAUGAUCAUCUAUAUCUUUUGGGAAUCUAAAAGAACUGUUGGUUUUCCAUUGCAAGGAAUUGUAACAUCCGUCCACUACAGCAGAAAGUCUAGUGCGACUCGUAUCAAUGAAGGUAGCUGGAUGCAGGGCAAUGACAGAGGUGGUAAUAGGUGACGGAGAAGAAGACGGAGCACCAAAUUUAAAUUCAAAACAAGAGAUUGUUUUCAGCAAAUUGAAGACAUCGAGUCUGUGUGAUUUAGAUAGUCUCACAAGUUUCUGCUCUGCCAAUUACGCUUUCAGAUAAAGAUUCUUGAAAUUGUCCUAUUUACAGCUGACAUUUCCACAAGAGUUAGAGAAAUAUAAAAAAUUCAUUAAUCGUUAGUUUUUAAUUUCAUUAUUCAAUGAAAAGUCCUGUCAAAUUAAAUUGCAAAUCUCAAUGUGCAAGUACCUAAAUUUACAAAAUUUACUUUAAAUUAAUGAAUGAAAGAAUUUAUUUUCUGCUGUUGGAGGAGUCGUCAUCUCUCUCGACAUAGUAUACGAUAUGUUUUGAUCCCAUAGGCUUUUUAAUAUAUUACCUUGUGUUGUUUGAUCUCUAGGUUUAUUUGCAAUGCGUCAGUUGGUUUAUUUGUUAAUUUUGGAAUGAAGUUGAUGCAGCUGAUGGUUGCAUAGGAUGAGUAGGAUAUCACUCCUAGAUCAUAACUUGAUCUAACAAUAUUGUGUAGGUCUUUUGUGACUCCAACAAUAAAAAAACUCAAUAUUUUUUUUAUAGAGCAAUAUUUGUUAAAGCAUGAAGAAAGGCAGAAAUAUUGUAAAUCCAUCUCAACUUUUCUGUUUAUUGUGGUCGCUGCUAGCGCUGGCUGUUUUCUUAUUUAACUUUGUUCCCUUUUGCCAUCAGCUCUUUGCAUUUUCAUUGGAUCAAGCGACCCUUUUCUUGCUUCAAUUUCUGAUCUCAAAAGCACUUUGAUUCUCUUCUAUAAUUCUGUUACACUGAUUUUCUCCUUAUUUUGUACAAAUAUCAUUUCUCUUUCCCAUUUAGCCUUGAUUUGCUUCAACUUGACUAUCAAUUGCCAAGUUGACCCUGUUGUAUUUUUAUUUUGUUCACUUCAAAUAGACCCAAAAAAAAAAAGAGAUGUUGAAUAAAGCCUAAAAUCUAAUUUGAUUUUUAAUCUGAUUUAGCUAAGAUGUCCAAUUUAAUAUUAAUAGCAAUGUUAAGGAUUCUAAUAAUUGGGUCCCAACUGAUAUGAUAGUCAUUUAUUAGAUGAUCGAAAUAUUAAUUUUACUAAUUAUGAAAUUCAUUAUCUAAUAAAAAAUGACACAUAACAAUUGGGUCUCAAGUUAGAAUUCAAAUAUUGGAAUUCUUAACAUUAUUUUAAUAUUAAAAAAUUCAUCAAAAUAAUAUAUAUUAUCUAAAAAAAAUAAAAAAUCUAAAACCAUAGAUUUACCCUUCAAUCUUCGUGAUUUGGCUGAUUUCUUUUAAAGCUUUGGUUUCUUUGGAAGUGCAACGAGAAAUAGUAAUAAGAUUAAAAAAGCAAUGAAGUAAAACUUUAAAAUUUUUAUUUUUUUAUAUUUUUAUGGGUCAUUUUACCGGCACUGGCGUUUGAUUUUCUGACUAAGCUACUGUUUAGUUCUAAGUUUUCAAUUACCCGGACUGCUCUGUUUUGUGUAUCAUCGACACAAUAAGGCUUAGCAUUUAAAAGUCGGCAGCCACGCAACUUCUUGGAAUCUUUGUGCAAGUGUUGGAUAUCGACUGUUCGAUAAUGAUGGCAGCAUUUGACUGGAGUGUAAUUGACGCAGUGGAAUAAGGAUCACAUGUCUCAAACUUUUGGUGAAGAUAUUGUCAGAUAUUUUAUUGAUUAAAGGAUCACAAAUAAUGGAUAUUGGAUGAGAAUCACAUGUUUUAUGGGAUUUACUAUGUUGCAACAGUGAUACCAUACCACUGUUUUUGUCAUUAUUCAUUGCGGCCGUUGGAUGGUAACUUAUUUAAUCUAAUGGUUUAAAUUAGUUAAUGGAGAAAUGACGCGGCAACUUACAACCCUUGCAGCCGGUUCUGUAUUGAUCUAAUAGCAUGGAGUAGUAAGCGUGCGUUUCAAAGAUGCUAAGAUACACUAAAUCCCACUAUUUCCAUACUCAUAAUCACAAGCUUACCUCAAAAAAUGAAGGGAGAAUACGAUGAAGAAGAAGAUGGCCAGUGUUUUACGCCGUUCGCCGGCAACCAGUUAGGUUUACGAUGGUGGCUAGUAACACGGAGUCCAGCGAAUAGUAGCAUACCGAACGGCUCUUUACCGUCACGUGGUUAGUAACAUAUGUGACCGCAGUGUGGCCGUCACAUAAAAGGUAUUGGGGUUACAAAGUUAGUGAUAUACGUAAUGGCUGCUUUUGCAUUCACAUUAGGGGUCACAUAUACCCUAUUUUUCUUGUAGUACAUGGUAAAUUCUAUUUGAAAAUUGCUAAGUAUUUUAGAUUUGUACAAAUUCAUUUUUGUGUGCUGGUGCCUGGUUGGAUAAUAAUAUAUAAUAAAUUAAAUUUUUGGUGUAAUUUUCACAAUAUUGUAUUAUAAAUAUGUAUCGUUGAGAGGUUUUGAAAUCGUUUUGAUUGAUCAUAAUUGAUAUUUCCACAGUUGUAAAAGAUGCCAGAGAAAAUUUGAUUAUCUUAAGAAAUGAGUGCAUGAGAUAUGAAAUCAACCAUACCGUAAAAUCAAAUUUUAUCGUGUCAUCCUUCUUGGUUCAAAUUUAUGGAAACAAUAAUCAAAUGCAUCCAUGAACUAGUAUAUUCCAACAUAUGUACCAUCAAAUUUUUGCUAUGUCAUACUUAUGUAUGUGUGUGUGUGUGUGUGUUUGUGUAUAUUGAAAUUUUAAUAACAACAAUUGGGGCAAGCAUAUGUUGGUACUUGAAGAUUUAUAAGCUCCAUUCUUGAAAAAAUAAGGCUUGACUGUUCUCGAUCUAAUUCUUUUUGUUUUAAGUUCUUAAUUAAGCUUUCUUGCUUGUUUUCAAGAGCCAGUUUUGUAAUGAUCGACAAACAUGAUUUGCAUAUAUUGCACUUGGCAUUUAUGUGUCACUUAUUAACUAGAUUUAAAUUUUAUAAAUUAAUUAAGCUGAUUAAUACUUUAUAUGUGCACUAAAUGAUAAAUACUACAUAAAUUGGGACACUAGUAACUACGUAUCCCAACUAUGUAAUAUUUGUUUGUCACAAAACCAAUCAUGGCCUGAUAUUCUAAAUAUUAUUUAGGAUACCAUUUCAAGUCCCAUGAGGGCUCUUUCCGUUAAAAAAAAAAAGUAUGAAAUAGAUGUAGAUUUUUCUUUAGAUAUUAUUACCUUUGGUGGCAAUGGUACGGGAUGAUUUGGGAUUUGACAAUUCCACUCUCAUCUUAAUUAUCAAAUGGAAUGUAAGUAUGGAUAAACUCGUCCUGUUUAUAUACUUGUGAUUAAAAUUAGGACCAAUCUCAAACCGCUCACAAUCAUGUCCCAUCCUAACUAUCCUGAAUGUCUCGAAUGCCUCCCUUUAUUAUCAUUUUAAUUCUCAUUAACAUAUUAGCAAAAUUUCCAUAUAUUAAAAAUAUUAGGGUCUGACUAUCUAUACUUUAAAAAUUACUAUGAACACUCAAUUAUUUUAUACACUCAUCUAAUAAAUUUAAAAAAUUAAGUUUCAUUUUGUACAUUUUUAAAAGUAACAAAAACAUUUUUACAUGAACCUAAUAAGUUUCUUUAAAAAAAAUUAAAUCAAUUAUUUUUAUUUAUUCAAAAUACUAAUAAAACUAUUCAGCAGACCGUGAAAGAAAAUUUUUAAGAAAUUUAGCACAUAAAACGUUGAAAGUUUCAACUAAAUUCUUUAACACAAUUUUAGAAAUUACUUAUUGUUUAUUAAAGAAUGUGUUCACUAAUGUUUUUAAUUUUGUGCAAUCAAAAAAGAAGAAGAAGAAGUUUGGGGUUAAAGAUACAUUUAAUUUUUAGUGUAAAAGUUGUAUCAAUCCUAUAAAAACUAAAAGAUCCAAAAGUUACAAGUUCCAACAUCACCCAAAUAUUACGAUUGUUUUUGGGAAGGUUAAAAGUGAUUUUAAAAAUUAAAAGCUUAUUUUAGUGUUUUAUAAAUUUUUUUUUAGUAAUUACUUUUGGCAAAAUCAUCUCAUCAUACAGUAGAUUUUGAAAAUUAAGAAAGGGAAUAGUUUUUCAAAAUCUAAUUUUGAGAAUCACUUUUAUACUUAAUCCAAUUCUCUCUCUCUCUCUCUCUCUCUCUCUAUAUAUAUAUAUAUAUAUAUAUAUAUAUAUCCUCAUUAUAUAAUAAAAAUCCAAAAUUACCUUUAUUAAUUAAGAAAUAAAAUCAUUAACUUUAAAGAAAUUAUUAUUACCACCAAUUAUAUUGAGAUAACAAAAUAAAUAAUACAAUUUAAUAAUAUACAAUAUUUAUUUUAGUUAUCAAUAAUUAUAUCUACAUAACAAAAAUAUUUUAUAUACAUGUUUGUAAAUGUGUAAAUAAAUUUUAUUUAGCUUUAUAUCCAAUUUAAUCAUUUACAUUCUUGCACCAGUUUAAUAAUAAGAUUUAUGAAACACAUAUGACUGCUUUUUAAACUAAAAGUACUUUUAAAAAUAAAUUUUACUAAAGGUUCACCUAAUUCUCUUCACGAUUGAUCAAUUUCUACAGCAUAGAUAACUGUAAUUAUUUUAAAAGCCAUAGAUUACCAAUAAAAAUGUCUAAAAGUAACAAUAAUAAACCAAAGUAAACGUACAAAAAUUCAUGCAUAAAUUGAUAAUCAACAAAAACAUCCAAAAGUUUUACUCUAAGUUUUCUAUUCAAUUGACAUAACCCUUAAAUUUCAAAAGGCAUAAUCAAUUUUGUGACUAAUCCUAUAAAAUUAGAAAAUUAAAGAAUAUUAUAUACUGAUAAUUAAAUAAUAUACAAUUAAUAAUGUAAAAAAAAAAUCAUGUUAAACAUAUUGUGAACUAAAAUAAUUGGGAGAAUUGGAGUUCCAAGAUAAAUUCCAAUCUAGUCCCAAAUCAACAAUUGGGAUUAAUUUCAAUCUUAAACUCCGAUUACUUUUAAAAUUGGUCCUAAUAAUAUGGACAAAUCCCAUUCUGAUCAGUAUGGAAUCUCAAUCCCAUAACUUUGGGUUUCGAUGGUGUUUAGUUGGAGGGAGGAGAGAGGAAGGAAAUGAAUUCAAAUUCCUUUCACUUUUCUGUUGUUUGGUUUUCACAAAUAUAUGGGAAUUCAAUUUCUAUUGAAAUUUAGUUUUCAUCAAAUUGUGCAUUUUGGAUUCCUCACCGAAGGCUGUAAAAUUCAAAUUCUCCUCCUAUUAGAAAUCAAAUCUUCCAAAAUUGUUCCUCUCAAAUAUUUAUCAAUUAUUUUUAUUCUUAUCAAACAAUUCUUAUUUAUGAUUUUAUUUUUUCAAUUUAAAUCGUCACUAAGGCGUCUAACUAAGGGCCAGUUUGGGAAUACUAUAACUUUUAAAAUAAUUAUUGUUAGUUGUGCUUUAGAAAUAAUCAGCUGUGAAGAAAAUUAAUUAAGUGUUUGGUAAAUUUUGUUUUAAAAAUACUGUGAGUUUUAAAAGCAGUUAUGGACAUUUAGUAAAUUUUACUAUUAAAUUGCUGAGAGAAAACAUAUGACUAAAAUGUAUAUAAUGUAGAUAAGAUUUACUUAUACAUAUAAAAACAUGUACAUAUAAUAUUUUUAAUUGUGUAUUAUAAUAAUUUUUAUUACAAAUAAAAUUUAUAAUAUAUUGAUUUUUUUAUUUUUUUAUCUUGAAACAAUUGAUAAUUAAAUUUGUAAUAUAGUGAAACAAAUUUAAUAAUAAUUCGACCAAUAAACUGAUAUUAAUAUAUUUAUAUAACCAAAUUAACGGGUGAAUUCUAUAAUCGAUUUCUUUUAUUAACAUCUCAUAACUAUGAGAAGUUUUAUAUUUUGAUAAAUGAUCAUACUCAAUUAUGUGCCUUAUUGGAUGAAAGACGGAGAAGGAAUGCCUUACCGGAUUCAAUUCAAUAUACACUUUUUGUUCCCAGGUCUAGCCUUUCGCGGGUACCUCAACAAAAAACUGAAGAGUAAUGGCAACAAGUGAUUGAGUUAAGUAGUUCCUCAUGUAAAAUUAUUGACUCUAGAGAUAUAGUAAUAUGGAGAAGACUAAACUAUUUCGUAUUGAUGAAUUAUAGUAACAAUUUAUUAAAAUAUUGAUUUUGAUUCUAAUUUUAAUAAGGAAGAACACCAAGAACGUUAUCCCUCUAAAUAUGUACUAUAUACAAAAAAUAAUUGUAAAAAAAGGGUAGAAAAAUAAAAGACAACUCAGAAAAUACUAUUUUUUUUAAUUAUAGAAUAUGACAUUGCAACCUAUAAUUACAUGUAAUUAUAUAAAGAUUAAAAAAUCAAUUAAGAAUUUCAAAUUAAAAUAGAUCAAUACAUGUAAUUACAAUCAAUUAAAAAUUGCAAGUAAAACUUUUGAAGUGGAAUACUAAAUUACCCGACUUAAUAAAUUAAACAAUUAAAAUUUAUUCAUCCUUUCAAAUUGUAAAAGUAUUAUUAGUCAAAAGUUUCAAUAAUAAACUAAACUCAAUUCAGCAAAAAGGUAUUUGAGUGCAAUUGUUUCUUUGUUAGGCGCUUUGCCUCUCUUUAAAGAACUAGAUGUUAAUUAUUCUUCUAUCAAAAAAUCCUUAAAAUAAUUAAAUUUUAUUUUCUAACUUGUUCUCUUAGUUUUUUUGAAACUAACAAAUAAAAUCUGAAAAUUCACAUAAAAAUUUUAUGAAAAUAUUGAUAAUUAUUACUAUAUGUUGUUCUGUAAGUACUUUUAAUACUAACAACGAUGUUAUAUUAUAUUGAUAGAUUUUUUUUUCAAUUAGAAGUUUUUAAAAUAAAUUAAAGCAAUAAUAAAAUUUUAGCUCCCUAAUUUUUCAAUCUAUUCAAUAAAUACGUAAUUUAAUCAUUUUAUAAAAUAAGUCACUAAUUGCAAUUGAAAAUAAUAUAAUUGAAUUAGGGACAUAUUUGUAAAUAAAAAAAACUAUUGUUAUAUAAAAUUGAUGAAAACAUAAGGAUAAUUGAGUUAAGGACAUAUUUGAAUAUAAAAUAUUGUUGUACUAAAUCGAUGAAAAUGUAAGGGUAAUUGAGUUAGGGACACAUUUAAAUAUAAAAUAAAAAAUCUAUUGUUAUACCAAAUUGAUAAAAACAUAAAAGUUAUUGAGUUAGGGACGUAUGUGAAAAUAAAAUAUAAACUCUAUUCUUUUACUAAAUUAAUGAAAAUGAAAAAAAGAGGUAUAAACGAUUUUUUCCCACAUGUAGGUCCGCCACUCGUGUUGUAUGAGAAUUGUAAUCCAAAAAUUUUCCCUACAAAACGAUUUUUAAUCGACAGCAAAUUUUCACUACAAAACGAUUUUAAACGAUUUUUGUUUUUUUUCGAUUAAUUUUGAAAUGUUGCAUACAUAACGAGCUGCCAUUGAAAUUAAUGUUAACAACCAAAGUAGAUGCAAAAGGAGAAACAAGCAUCAUGUGCAGUACCCACUGUGAACUACUCACAUUGGAAUAAGUUGUCGGCAGCUGGUCUGUUUGGCCAUUGAUAUUUUGACUAUUCAAUGUUGAUUUUGACCCCACUAAAUUAAGCCAUCAAAAAUUGCUGGGAAGGGAGUAAUAUCUAUUCAUAACUGGAAAUUACUCGCCGUACAAUGAUGAUUGGAGCUGCAUGUAUCAUUUAUUAUUAACAACUAACUUAUGAAAUGCUUUGAAUGUACCUCCUAGGUCGUAUUUACUAUACUGGUUAGGAGAAACUACAAUAUUAAAUUAUUUGAUAAAUACUUAUUAUAAUUUAAAAAAUAUAUUAAUUUUGUCCUCCACUUUAUGAUAAAAAAAUUAUAAUAUAUAUAAAUCAUUCAUUCUAUAAUCUUGAACUUUAUUAAAGUUCCAAAAACUAUUACUCUAUAUGAUAUACUCGGGUGAUGUUAUUACACUAUUAUACAGUACAAAAUAUAUUUGUUUUCUUAAAUUUUAAUAAAGUCUAGGUCUUGGAGAGAAGCGCUUUAUAUAUAUGUAUAUAUAAUGAUUCUCUAGUGACGACAUCCUCAUUUUAACAAAGUGAUGAUAUCACUAACAAACUAAAUAACACACAUUUCAAUACACCAAUUGAUAAAAAAAUCCAGUUUUUAAUGUGUUAAAAUAUAUGUCUUUUGUAUAUUAUUGAUAUUUUCAUUUUAACAAAGUGAAGGUCUCCUCACUAUAGAAGUGCUUUAUAAAUAUUUUCUGUAUUUUUGUAAAAAUUAUUAUUUAAAAGUCAUAUCUUACCAAAGACUAAUAGUUUUUAUUUUAUCACUAUACUGUACUUUUCAAGAUAGAACACCUCAAUACCAUGACCUUAAUUUUGAACUCUCUUGUACAAAGUUGUUGGCGGGUCUAUUUAGUUUAGUCUUUCAACUAUUUGUCGUUUGAACUAAGAUGAUCCGAAUAAAGAUAUAUAUCAAUAAUUUCCUAGUGAAACUUCGGAAAAAUAUAAAAAUCCUCUCAUAUAGUAGCAUUAUUUUAAUUCUCAGCUUGAUUAUGUUUUGAGUUAACUUAUAAAUUAUUUGAAAUAAAAAGAAUAUAAUUUAUUUUUUCCAACGGAAUUUUUUAAAUAAUUUUAUUAGUUUAAUGAGUAAUUAUACACUUACAAAGUUAUGAUAUAAAAUUAUAUCCCUAAAUCCCAAUAAUAUGACACCAAUGAACUACUGCUAUGUGUUUCUUAGUAAUUAACUUUUUAUACUAUUAUUAAUGAGAUAAUUAACUUCAACACCAAUAUAAAAAUUUUAUAUUAAUACAUCCUCUAGCUUUAGACGUUACAGACUCUGUAUGUAACGCAGCAAAUGAGGAGCAUCCACGCGUUGCAGGAGAGAGGAAAAGUUGUUGGAAUUUAGCUGAUACAAGACUAAUUUCCAUUGAGCUGUUACAUACAGAGUCUGUAAGGUAGUUUUAUUAUCAAAUAAUCAUAUGUCAUAAUCGAACCAAGCUACCAGAGCCUACCACUAAAAGAGUGAUUGAAGGGUUUUCCAAGUUUGAAAAUGUUAGUAGCAUUGGCAAAUGGCAACUUCCAGGAAUCUUCCUGCUACAAUCAAGUUGAAUCAACUAUUCAGUGAAAUACGCAAACGGCACAUAGGACCCCGCCACCCGUAAAGUCACAAUCAUUUGUUUAUUUGUCAAUCAAGUUGAAUCAACUUGAAUAAAGCCUAAAAUCUAAUUUUUUAUUUCGUUCACUUCAAAUAGACCCCCCCCCCCCAAAAAAAGAGAUGUUGAAUAAAGCAUAAAAUCUAAUUUGAUUUUUAAUCUGAUUUAGCUAAGAUGUCGAAUUUAAGACUAAGAGCAAUGUUAAGGAUCCCAAUAAUUGAGUCCCAAGUGAUAUGGUAGUCAUUUAUUCUAUGAUCGAAAUAUUAAUUUUACUAAUUAUGAAAUUUAUUAUCUAAUGAAAAAAUCACACAUAUCAAUUGGGUCUCAAGUUAGAUUUCUACUAUUGAAAUUCCUAACAUUUUUCCAAUAUUUAAAAAUUCAUCAAAAUAAUAUCUAUUAUCUAAAAAAAUAAAAUAAAAAUCUAAAACCAUAUAUUUACUUUUCAAUCUUUGGCUGAUUUUUUUUUAAAGUUUUGGUUUCUUUAGAAGUGCAAAGAGAAAUAGUAAUAAGAUUAAAAAAGCAAUGAAGUAAAACUUUAAAAUUUUUAUUUCUUUAUAUUUUCAUCGGUCAUUUUACCGGUACUGGUUUGAUUUUCUGACUAAGCUACUGUUUAGUUCUAAGUCUUGGCAAUUACCCGGACUGCUCUGUUUUGUGUAUCUUCGACACAAUAAGGCUUAGCAUUUAAAAGUCGGCAGCCACGCAACUUCUUGGAAUCUUCGCGCAAGUGUUGGAUAUCGACUGUUCGAUAAUGAUGGCAGCAUUGGACUGGAGUGUAAUUGACGCAGUGGAAUAAGGAUCACAUGUCUCAAACUUCUGGCGAAGAUACUGUCAGAUAUUUUAUUGAUCAAGUAAGGAUCACAAAUAAUUGACGCAGUGUAAUUUGCUUUUUUUGCUACUGAUGUAAGUCUUGCAAUUAUUUUUAAAUAAUGAUAUUAUAAUUAAAAAUCAAGAAAUAUUUAUAAUACUUAAAGACUGAUUCAGAUUAUUAAUUCUUUUAUAUGACUUAAUUAUUAGCUGACAAAUAAUUAAAAAGUCAUGGAACAAUACUUUUAUUCUAAUAUGACACAACUUGUACUUUCAUUCCUAUGCUAAAAUAUAUCUAACUUAUUAAUAGUCAAGAAAUAUAUCUAUUCAACAUAUAUUUGUUAGAAAGAUUAUCUACUAAUUAAUCAUUCAGACAAGAUUACGAGUCUCAACAUAAAGAGUAAUGAUAUAAUCAUAAAUUUUUGUAUAAAUUUAUUUUGUAUAAAUUAAUAUGUCAUAAUAAGAUUGGUUAAAUUAAAUAUCACUUGACUCAUAUAAUUUAUUUUUAUUAUUUUAUAUUUUCAUUCAACUAAUGAAUUAAUGUCAUGUUAAUUUAUACAAAAAUAUUUAUACAAAAAUUUAUAGUUAAUUUAUACUCCAAAUUAAGAUAAAAAUUAAUACAUUGAAAUUCAGAACCCUUUUUUAUUUUUUUUUUCCUUCUGCAGUUUAAAAAGGAGUCGCCCACGAUUAUUGAAAUAAUUUUAUCAGAUUCGCUUGAAAGUAGUUUUACGAGCAAGCGGUUUUUCCCUCUUGAUCCCCGUAUUCGUCAGCUCCUACUCUUUGCCUUCAAUUCUCAGUCAAGAAAACCUCUCCUGAUUUUCGUCUUUUGAUCUCAUACACACUUUGCUUCUGUUCAUCGUGGUCGCUGCUCGUGCUAGCCGUUUUCUUAUUUAGCUUUGUUCCCUUUUGCCAUCAGCUCUUUGCUUUUUCAUUGGAUCAAGCAACCCUUUUCUUGAUUCAAUUUUCUGAUCUCAAAAACACUUUGAUUCUCUUCUGUUACACUGAUUUCCCCCUUGUUUUGUACAAAUAUAAUUUCUUUUUCCAAUUUUGCCUUGUUUUGCUUCUACUUGAUUAUCAAUUGCGCGGUCGUUGACCCUGUUCUAUUUCUAGUUCGUUCCCUUCCCCCCCCCCCCAACCCAAAAAAAAUGGACAUUUUGAAAAGCAUUGUAAACUGCUUGUCUCCUCACGCACAACGCGAAUUUAGUUAUUGGCAUAACUCCGCUGCCAACUUUGAGAAUCUCAAGGCAGAACUCGAUGGGCUCAAGGAUGAAAGAGAAAGCAUUCAGCGCAGAGUUUCUGAGGCUGAAAGAAAAAGUGAAAAGAUUGAAGAGAAGGUUGAGAAAUGGCUGGUUAAUGCGAACAAGAGCAUUGAGCAGGCAGCCAAAUUCAUUCAAGACGAAGAGAAAGCAAAUGAACGAUGUCUCAUGGGGCUGUUUCCUAAUUGGAUUACUCGCUAUCAGCAUGGAAAGAAAGCAGAAACAGAGAAGGAGGCCCUUUUUAAACUCCGAGAAGAAGCUGGGAGAUUUGAUAGAAUUUCCUACCCUACCAUUCCGGAGGAGAUUUGGCUCAAGUCUCACAAAGGCUACGAGGCCUUCGAAUCAAGACUUCCUACUUUGGAGGAUAUAAAAAACGCAUUAAUCAAUGUUAAUGUCAGCAUCAUUGGGGUGUACGGCAUGGGCGGCAUUGGAAAGACGACACUGGUGAAGGAGUUUGCAAGGCGAGCCAUUGAAGACAAGCUUUACGAUAUGGUGGCUUUUUCGGAGGUUACCCAAAGUCCAGACAUAAAAAAGAUCCAAGAGGAAAUUGCGGAAACGUUAGGCCUACAGUUGUCCGAGGAAGCUGAGUCUAGAAGAGCUGGUAGACUAUAUGAAAGAUUGAAGAAUGAGAAGAAGAUCCUUGUGAUUCUGGAUAACAUCUGGAAACCUCUUGAUUUGGGGACUAUUGGAAUUCCUUUUGGAGUUGAGCACAGAGGAUGCAAAUUAUUAUUCACAACAAGAGAUCUUGAUGUGCUGUUAAGGAUGGGAUCUGAAAAAAACUUGUCGAUUGGCAUUUUAAAUGAACAAGAAGCCUGGAGAUUGUUCAAGAUAAUGGCUGGUGAUUAUGUUGAAAAUCGUGAGUUAAAAUCUGCAGCAACAAGUGUAGCCAAGGCAUGCGGAGGUUUGCCUAUUGCCCUAACCACAGUAGCAAAGGCACUGAGAAAAAAAGAGCUGCCUGUGUGGAAGAAUGCCUUGCAAGAGCUCCAAACGCCUUCAGAGGCGAGCGUCGACGAAGGAGUACCAGCAGAGGCAUACUCAACAAUUGAGCUGAGUUACAAGUACUUAAGAGGUGAGCAACUCAAGAAAACUUUUUUACUGUGUAGUCUUAUUACGCCAGCACCAAUUAUGGACUUGUUCAAAUAUAGCAUGGGCUGGGGUGUAUUUAAAAGUGUCCACAAGCUAGAAGAUGCACAUAACAAAUUAGAUGCAUGGGUCCAUCAACUAAGAGACUCUUGUUUGCUGCUUGAGGAUGGUGGCAGUAAAUACUUUUCUAUGCACGACGUUGUUCGCGAUGUUGCCAUUUCAAUUGCAUGUCGUGACAAAAUUGGAUUUGUGGUGAGAAAUGGCCAAAUGCAGAUGAAUUAAAAAAAUAUCUUGCAAUUUCUUUAAAAGAUAGUAUUAUUAAUGACAUUCCUGAAGGGUCCGAAUCUCUACAACUUGAACUUCUACUCAUGUCUCCCAAGAACUCUUUUGCUGUGCCUAAUAUUCCUGAGAACUUCUUCAAAAGGACGAAAAAGCUUCGGGUUUUGGAUUUGACUAGAAUGCGGUUAUUGUCAUUGCCAUCUUCAAUUGGUCUUCUAGUAAAUCUUCAGACACUUUGUCUUAAUCAAACCAUUUUGGGAGGCAUAGACAUAGCCAUUAUUGGAAAGUUGGAAAAUCUAGAAAUCCUCAGCUUCGUGCGGUCUGAUAUGGUGCAAUUGCCCAAAGCACUUGGUCAACUGACUAAGCUAAGGCAGUUAGAUUUAACUGACUGUUUCCGUCUAAAAGUUAUUGCUCCAAAUGUCAUAUCAAGCUUAAUCCGAUUAGAAGAAUUGUAUAUGGGUAAUUGCUCCAUUGAAUGGGAGGUUGAAAGAGCGAACAGCAAAAGAAGUAAUGCUAGCCUUGAUGAAUUGAUGCAUUUACCUCGGCUAACCACUCUAGAAAUUGAUGUUAAAAAUGAGAGUAUGUUACCAGAAGGCUUUUUGGCCAGAAAGCUCGAAAGGUUCAAAAUACAUAUUGGAAAUGGGUUAUUCACACAUCCCAUGCUUUUUAGACAACAGUGGUUUAAAAGUCGGCAGCACUUUUGGAUCAACAGUAAACGCAAGAGUUUAAGAGCAUUGAAGCUCAAGCUUGAUUUUAUGGACAUUUGCUCCAUGAAAUUGCAGGGCAUCAAUAACGUUGAAUACUUAUGGUUGGACAAGCUGCAAGGCAUCGAGAAUGUUCUUUUCAAUUUGGACACGGAGGGCUUUUCACAAUUGAAGCUUCUCUGGGUUCAAAAUAAUCCUGACUUCUUUUGUAUCGUCGAUUCAAGGGAGAUGGUCGCUUGUGAUGCCUUUCCUCUUUUGGAGUCACUUAUCCUUCACAACUUGAUCAACAUGGAGAGGAUAUGUAUUGAUCGGCUCAAAGUAGAGUCUUUCAACGAACUCAAAAACAUAGAAGCAUAUAAUUGUGAUAAAUUGAGUAAUAUCUUUUGGCUCUCUACUACAAAAUGCCUUCCAAGACUUGAGAGAAUUGCAGUUAUUAAUUGCAGCAAGAUGAAAGAGAUUUUUGCAAUUGGGGAAGAAGUUGAUAAUGCAAUUGAGAAGAUAGAGUUUGCUCAAUUAAGAUCUUUGAGUCUGGGGAAUCUUCCAGAGGUUACAAGUUUUUGCCGCGAGGUGGAGACUCCUUCAGCAUCACCAAACAGACAAGUGUCGCAAGAGGAAUCGACGACUAUGUAUAGCUCCAGCGAAAUCACUUUGGAUAUUUCAACUCUGCUUUUCAACGAGAAGGUGCGUAGGCUAACAGAUUUUAUUCUAUCAUGCGUUCUGUUUUGAUGUCAUACGUGGAAAAUAAUUAAAUCAUUUAAAGAAUUGAAAGAAAAUGGAAAAAAGGAUAAAAAGAAUCUCACGCGCUCACUAAUUGAGCUCUUAACAAGUAGUAUGAAUUAGAAUGCAUACUCAGCUGUCAGUUGGAAAUUGAUUCUGACUUGCAUUAAUUUGUAAUCAAAGAAGAAAAUUUCAACAAGUGCUUCCCAUAUGGAUAUUGGAUCUAACGAGAAAUUCUUAUUUUUUUAGGUAGUGUUGCCUAACUUGGAGGCUUUGGAGAUAUCUACAAUUAAUGUCGACAAGAUUUGGCACUACAAUCAUCUUCCGGUCAUGUUUCCUCGCUUUCAAAAUUUAACACGAUUGAUUGUAUACUGCUGUAUCAAAUUAAAAUACAUAUUUUCAGCGUCUAUGAUCGGAAGCCUGAAGCAGCUCCAACACCUAGAAGUAUGCUUAUGUGAGGAUUUACAGGAGAUCAUUUCUGAAAACAGAGCAGAUCAAGUGAUCCCUUAUUUUGUCUUUCCACAGCUCACCACUCUGAGACUCCAAGAUCUACCAAAACUUAGAUGUUUGUACCCUGGAAUGAAUACUUUGGAAUGGCCCGUGCUAGAAAUUCUUUUUGUGUAUGGUUGUGACAAAUUAAAGAUAUUCGCUGCAGAUUUAUCGCAGAAUAAUGAGAAUGAUCAACUUGGUAUUCCUGCACAACAGCCCCUAUUGCCGUUGGAAAAGGUAUGAAGUCAUUUUCUAGAUUUUUUAUCAAUAGCUUAUUUUUAACUUUGAAAAAUAUGACAAAGUAUCGAUAAAUUAAUACUCAAUAAAUUAAAAACUUUUAUUAUACAAUAAUCUUUGCUAGUCUAGACUAAGGGAUCAAUGUCGUAGAUUAAUAAUUAUAUGAACUGUUUUAGGUAUAGCAUUUAUAAAAGAAUCCUUAGUCUUUCCAUAUAGAAGAACUUACAAAAUAAAUUAGUAAUUUAUUAUUGUGCAAUAAAAUAAUUUCGAGCCAGUAUAAAUCAACCUUUUUUCCCUAAUUUCUUUUUUACCUCUAAAAUUAACAUAUAAAAUAAAUUUUAUCAAUAAUUCAAUUUUUUUUAAAAAUAUAAUAUAAAACAAAUACUAUAAAGUCACUGCAUGUGACCGUAGAUCAUCAAUUGACCUCAUUAGUUAUUAUGAUUGAUGAUGAUCAGAUCGUACCCAACUUGAAGAAACUAUCACUAAGUGGAAAAGAUGUGAAGAUGAUUUUGCAGGCCGAUUUUCCACAACACCUUUUUGGCAGUCUUAAACAACUAGAGAUUGUUGGAGAUGACUCAGCUUGUUUUCCAAUCUGGAACGUACUGGAGAGAUUUCACAAUCUUGAAAUGCUCAUACUGCGUUAUUUUUCAUUCAACGAAGAGGAAUUUUCGAAGGAAGGAUGCUUAGAGAAACAUGUGGGGAAGUUGGCAAUGAUAAAAGAAUUACAGCUGCACGGGCACGAUCAUCUUGAGCAGCUGUGCAAACAAGACUCCAAACUUGGCCCCAUUUUUCAGUAUCUUGAAAUUCUAGGAGUAUAUUAUUGUCAAAGUGUGUUAAUUCUAUUGCCAUCAUCAUCGGUAUCUUUUCGGAACCUAACAGAACUUGUAGCUUUCGGUUGCAAGGAAUUGAUACACUUGGUAACAUCCUCCACAGCAAAAACUCUAGUGCAACUCGUCACAGUGAGUAUACAUGGAUGCAGAGCAAUGACAGAGGUGGUAAUAAAUGACAAAGAUGGAGUUGAAAAAGAAGAGAUUGUUUGCUGCAAAUUGAAGAUGUUGGGACUGUUUGAUUUAGAUAGCCUCACAAGUUUCUGCUCUGCCAAUUACACCUUCAAAUUCCCAUCUUUACAAGAUUUGAAUGUGAUUGGUUGUCCCAAGAUGAAGAUUUUCACUACAGGAGAAUCAAUCACGCCUCCAAGAGUAAAUGUCUGGUAUGGAGAGACAGGGGAUCGAUUGCUUUGGACCAAUAAUGAU
rnacentral:lncRNA from 1 species